UGUGUGUGUGUGUGUUAUAUCAUUCCUUAUAAAUCAAGGAUGACUCUUCAUGUUUCUGAUGUGAGAUUCGAAAGGGCUCUAAUCUAUAUAUCUAUAUAUUUAAGCCAAACUUUUUUCAACAAUCUCCACCUUGGCGUGAUUCGAGCCAUCUCUAAAUGUCUCACGAUCCUAGUCUCAAUAGCUCAACCUUAAUCACAAGCAUAAAAUUCCAACUCAAUAACUCAACCUUGAAUCCUUAAUAACAAGCCUCAAAUUCCAAAUCUUGUGAUCCUAAUCCAAACAAGAGCUCCACCAAAUUGCAACUCGAUCGUACGAGACACUAAGUCCCAAGUGUAAGCUGGGCUCUGAUACCAUUUGUUAGGAGAAAGCAGUUGAAGGGUCCCACACACACUAGUCCAAUAAUGCCGAUACUCUUCCCAUUUUAGCCACCAAAUAGAGAUCGGCCAUGAGGCUUUAAUACAAAAAACAUCGGCAUUAGUGUGUAAUAUCAUUCCUUAUAACUCAAUGAUUGAGUUUUCAUAUUUUUGAUAUGCAAUUCAAAAAGGGGCUUUAAUCUAAGCCACAUUUUUUUUUCCAACAAUAGGCUCGCUUUAAAAUAACGCGAGCUAAGAUGUACUAAGUGACAUGUGUUAUACUUCAUUGAUCGUACUUCAUGAUCAUAUAUAUGGUAUAGAGACCUGUUAAUGGACCGGAUCACUUAUAGUCGUUUGAAUUAUAAUUUCGGACAAUAAUUGCUAUGUUAAUGCAUCGAAUAUGUUAAUGACCAUCCCAUGUCUAAUUGUAUAAUUACUUAAAUUUUAUUUUGUUUGUCAAUACAAUACUUUGGUUACCUUAUUUGAAACUCUAAUGCUAGCUCGAUCUAAAGUCGCCACGGGUUCUAGAGAUUCUAUCGCCAAUUCCCAAGUCCCAGUCAAGGUUCUAAAAAACGCUAGGCACUAGUCGGGCGGACAGCCAGCGCCUAGCGCCCAGAGAAUUAAUCGGGCGCCUAGGCGGUUUUUUAUUUUCUAUAACUUUUAUUUGUUUAAUUCAAAUAAUUAUAUAAAUAAAAUUUAUAAAAUCAUUAUUAUGUUCUAAAAUAGCAAAAUACUUCAAAAAUAGACAAAAUGUUCAACAACAAGGUUCUUAGAAAUUAUAAAAAAAACAAUUUGAAAGAAACAAAUUAGAUUCUUACUAGCCUAUGCCUCAAAUUCUUCUUCUCCAUAUCUCUCUUGCACUUCUUCUGUGUCGGUCUCAAACUCAAAGUCUAUUUCAUCUUCUUCCUCUUCAUCCGAUAGGUUAAAAAUAGGUAAAAAAAAAAAAAAACCCAUAAUAGGGGCCAGCAAAAACAAAGAAAAAAAAAAGCAUAAUUGGGCCGCCCAGCCCGCCCAGGCACCGCCCAGCUUGCCUAGGCGGCCGUUUUUUGAGCUGGCGCCCAGUUUCGACGAUUUGUGCAAAAUCGGAACGGUCCCCUGCCGCCCAACGCCUAGGCGGCCCUGGGCGGCGUUUUUUAGAACCAUGGUCCCAGUUAAUAAUAAAGAGAAUGGGAUUGACAUUUUCUGGGUAUCGGGAGUGGUUUCAAUCCUUAGCGUAUUGGAUAUAAAUGAAAAUAAAGAACACAACAAUUUGUUUACUCAGUAAAACCUCAAUUUGAGGAAAAACAUUGUUGGGGCUUUGAGUUCAAAGCCCUUAAUGAAAACAAAAAUUCACUAUAAAUGAAGAACGAGUCAAUUAUAAACUAUGUAGCACUGAACGCAGCUACUAUCUCUACAACCCUAGCAGAUAUGUUUGAAGCAUUUUUCUUCUUCAAUCUCCAAGGAACUAACCACAUCCUUGAUCCUUCAAUCACAUAAACAAAAAGUUCAACUUAACACAAAACAAUUGAACUUCUGACCUUACAAACUAUCUCUACAACCCUAGCAGAUAUGUUUGAAUCAUUUUUCUUCUUCAAUCUCCAAGGAACUAACCACAUCCUUGAUCCUUCAAUCACAUAAACAAAAAGUUCAACUUAACACAAAACAAUUGAACUUCUGACCUUACAAAGUUUUACAGCAUAAAUACUAUCUCUCAAACGAGAAAUUUUUCUGUCUUCCAGGAGAACCACGUGUCAUGUUGAUAUGGUCCUCCCUACCUAUAAAAAAACUGACAUGUGGAUUUUCUCAAUUGAAACAUAAAUUGUGCAAUUCUAUUAUUUUGUGAAAUUACGUUUAGAUCAACCUCUACUGCUGUGAGAGCAUCUCCAAUAGCUUCCCCAAAAUUUCUAUAAAAUGGGGAAGCAAGAGCUAAAAUCUCUAAAAAAAUUAUGAUCAAAAUCCAGCAGCUUCUCCAUUUUAGAGAUUUCAGCAUUUAACACAACAAUAAAAUAUAAUAUAUCAUCAUUAAUUAUAACAAAAAAUAUUAUAUAUUUCAUUGUAACAAUAAACUACCCAAUAAAAUAUUUUAUUGUUGUCUUAAAUUCGUUGGAGCACGUGAAUAAUUUAAUUUUGGGGAAGGAAGACUUUGCUGCAAAUUUGGGGAAUGAAGUCUUCUUUUUCUUCUUCAUCCCCAUUUUGGGGAAUGGGAUGGGGAAGCUGUUGGACUUAAAAAUAGCUCUAUAUUCCCCUAAAUUCUAUAUUCCCCAAAAUUAAGAAUUUCAAGAAAAUGGGGAAGCUGUUGGAGAUGCUCUAAAGAACUUGUAUAACUCAGAUCUCGAUCUACAUAUAUGAAUAAUGAAUCCUCUUGUUCUUAAGGUUAUGGACAAUAUGCAUGAACCAAAUUCCAUUUAGUUUUUUUGUACUGCUAUGUCUUUUGCUAUUUCUCCUUGCAAAUCCCCACAAAUUCAUUAAUGUAAGCUUUCGAAUUGAAAUCCGAAACACAAAACAUUGAAGAUUUGAACCUGCGAUCUGGCUUAUCAUUUUAGUACAUGUCGAUCUCAUAAUUGCACAAGGACGACAAGGUGAUUGCACAAGGUGAUGCAUUUUUCACUAGGAGAUAAUAGAUGUUAAAUUGUUAAUUAACCAUAUAUUUGCAAAACCUCAUAUGAUUGCAUAAUCUGGGCUUUCCUUUCGUCUGAGUUUUAUUCUUAUGGAGAGCAACAUCUCAAUUAACAAGAUCAAUAAAUCUCAUAAUUGCACAAUGAUGAGGAAAUUUUUAUUUGAUAUCUCUUAAUCUGAAAUUAGUUGAAUUCUUUUUCAUAGUGGGUUUAUAACUAAAGAUUUUACAGAUAAGCAAAUUAUUGUUCAUAUGAGAGAGAAUUAGGAAAAGAGAAAGAAGAGAUAACAUCGGGAGAUGGAAUGAAGAAGAAGAUCCUAAAUGUUAUUUCACAAAAUAAUAGAAUUGCCUAAUAUAUGUUUUAAUUGAUAAAAUCUCCGUGUCAGUUUUUUUAUUAGUAAGGAGGACAAUAUUAGCAUGCCACGUGGUCCACCCGAAGGACAGAAAAAUUUCUCCUCUCAAACGCAAUGCGUGCAAAGGUAGUACUCUGAUUAAUCAAUAAACAAUCACAAAAUUUUACAAAGUUUUGCAUGUAGUCUGUGCGUCUUUUAUAUAUCUUCAAUAUCCUUGUGCGACUCUAACCUAAUUAGAAAGAUUAAUCAAUAACAAUCACAUUAAUCAAAUAUAAUAAAAUCUUCCUAAUGUAAUCUGAUUAAUGAAUGAAAACCUAAUGCCCUAAGUAUCUAGUCUCACGCAAAACAGAAUGUUAGGAGUUUGAUUACCAUAUUAAUACCAGCCAACUCAAAGAGAUCCUAAUCAUAUAGGACUUCAACUAGCACGUCCAAUAUAGCGGGUCAAAUCCAAUAAUAAUUAUCAAACAAAUCAAAUCAUAUAUAUAAUUAAAGGGUGCGGCUAUUUCCACCCCACUAAAUGCUCAGUUCACCCCACGUCUUAUAUUUUAUCUUUAACGUUCCAAUUUUGUCCUUAAAUUUUGUGGUUUUUAUUUUUUUCUUUUAUUUUCCUGAAUCUGAUAAAAUCUAAAAAUAUUUACAAAUAUAUCAUCANNNNNNNNNNNNNNNNNNNNCUAUAUUUGAAGCCAUAAAUGAAAUAAAAAUAAGAACGACCAAUCACACCACACAGUAUAACCACCCUGUUGAAGAUUGAAGAGAUUUUCAAAUCUGAUUUGAAAGAUGUAGAGAAUUUGUUUUUUUUUUUUUUUUUUCCGAUGUAAAUAUGUAGAGAAUUGUUGUUGUUUAAAUUUUAUAGAUUUUAGUUUAAUAUUAUAUUUUCACAAAAAUUCUUGAUUAUGGGGUUAGUAUUAGAAUAUUUAGUUUAAAAUUGAAAUGUGGGGUGAACAAAAUAUUUGGUGGGGUGGCAAUCGCCGCACCCAUAAUUGAAUCAAUACUCAACAAUCAAAUAUGGGUCUGGUUCCUGGGACAUUAUAUUUGACACUAAUUUUGAUAUCGUUUCCUGUCCAUUAGAUUUUAAAAAAAAUCGAUGGACUAGAUCAAUUGUAGAUAUGAUGUCAACUUAUAAAAACUGACGUGGCAAUUGACGUGGCAUUACUUAUUUUAUAACAAAUCAAAUCAAAUUAAAAAAACAAAAUCAAAACCUAAAAUCUGAAAAUCAAAUUUGAUCGCGAUAAAAAGAAGAAGAAAAAAAAAAAAAAAAAAAGAACGACAGCAGAAGACCAGAAGAAUACAGAUCAAGAGAAAGAAGAGAGCAGACGAGCAAAGAACCAAGACACUCAAAGCAUCUUCUCCGGUCUCACAUCUUUAUACUUUCGACAAAAUUAGGGUUUACUAUAAUUGGUUUUAUUGUUUACGGAAACGAAACCAAAUUGCCAUUGAUCUUUCGACCAAAAAGAAAAAUUGCUAUGGAGAGCUGUAUGAUUUGGUCCAUGGAAUGAUACGGUAUGAAUUAUAUUGUAUAAUUUGUUUCCGUAGUCAUUGGUCUAUGAAGGUUUUAUAUAUUACAGCUGCAACUUUAUGAUUUGAAUAGAGUACAAAAACUAAGCAAGUGGAGAUAAAUUUUAAAGAAGGAUAUGCAGAAAGAGCAGUAAGCCUUGAUGUCUCAAAUCAUAAACCAGUAGCUAUUCCUUUAAUAUAUAUAUAUGAUUCUGGCAAUCAUUAUAACUAAAUUUGCAUACAACUUGAUCAAAGCGUCUGAUAUCUCCAACGUUUUUCUUUAAAUGUGUUGUUAUCCAAUUUGUUUAAUGGAUAUCUAUGAUCAUGUAGUGUUGUUCAGGUUGGAAUCAAUGGACUUGACGAUAGAAGAUGACAAUCUUGAAUUCUCGUUGAACCAAGCAUCCAUUGAUAAAGCAAGUGAUCACAAUUCUCAAGAGAAAGAAGUCCGAAAACUAAAAUCCCCUUAUGUUGGAAUGAUUUUUGAAACAUUAAAUGAGGCCGGACAAUAUUAUGAAGCUUAUGGUCGACAAGAAGGUUUCUGGACUCGUAUCCGAAGUUCAUCAAAGUAUAGAUCACAGUCAAACGAAGUGACAUGUAGAUUAUUUGUCUGUGCACAUGAAGGUAAACAUGUCAUGCAAACUCAAAAAGAAGAUGAUCUGACAGAGAAAGACGAGAUAUCUGAGAAUGAUGAGGCAGAAACAUGUGAUAUACAGAUUGAAAAGAAGAGGCGUAGAAGUUGUUCAACUGUUAAAUGUGGGUGUGAGGCUAAUAUGCGAGUUCUUCAUGACAAAUGGACUAACAGAUGGAAAGUUUCAGUUUUCAGUGACAUCCACAACCAUAAAAUAGUGUCACCAGCUCGAAGAAUGAUGAUGAAGUCGAAUAGACAUAUGCCUGAUGCAGCAAAAGAUUUAACAGAAGCUUUUCAGAGAGAAAACUUACGAAUUAGUAAAGUUCCUUCAAUGUUUGGUGGUGCUCCUAAUAUUGGUUUUGACAAUAGGGACUGUUAUAAUCAUUUAAGGAAUGUGAGACACAAAGAGUUGGAAUCUGGAGAUGCACAAUCAGUCCUCAAUUACUUUAGAAAAAAGCAAGCAGAAAGUCCACAAUUCUUUUAUGCUAUCCAGUGUGAUGAAGAUGGUAAAGCAACUAACUUUUUCUGGGUGGAUUCUAGAUCAAGGACGGCGUAUCAGUAUUUUGGGGAUGUAGUAACAUUUGAUACAACAUAUCGGACAAACAAGUAUGACAUGCCUUUUGCGCCUUUUAUGGGAGUUAACCAUCACUUCCAAUCUAUACAAUUUGGAUGUGCUCUUUUACAAGAUGAGACCGAGUUGACAUUUUUAUGGUUAUUUGAGACGUGGCUUGAAGCUAUGGGAGGUCGAUAUCCGUCAUCUAUUAUCACUGACCAAGAUUUGGCAAUGAAAGGAGCAAUUGCAAAGAUUUUUCCUACUACUCGUCACCGUCUUUGCAUUUGGCAUAUAAAGAAGAAGUUUGGUGAAAAGUUGUCACAUGUAUAUUAUCAAAAGUUCAACUUCAAGACUGGCAUGAAAAAGUGUAUACGGGCAACAUACAAAGCAACCGAUUUUGAAGAGCAAUGGAAAAAGUUGAUUGAGGAGCAUGAUUUGGGACAGAAUGAAUGGCUACAACAAUUCUAUGAAAUCCGUGAAUCUUGGGUUCCAAUAUAUAAUCGCAGUAUAUUUUUUGCUGGAAUGAAUACAACAGGGCGUAGUGAAGACACUAAUGCAUUUUUUGAUGACUUUGUUACUUCAACGACAAAUCUAAGAGAAUUUGUUGUCAAGUAUGAACAAGCCUUACAGAAGAUUGUUACAAGGGAAAGCAGCGAAGAUUUUAUAUCAGAGCAUAAAUAUCGUAUUGUAGAUGAUGAUGACUUCCUUUUGAAACAUGCAGCACAAGUGUAUACCAGAAAUAUAUUUGAAAAAUUCAAGAGCGAAUGGACUAGAGUCAAACGGCUUAAAGUUGAAGAAAGGGGUUCUGACAGUCAGUUUCAUAGAUACUCAGUGAUGAGGAAAAUUGAUAACUCGUAAGAGUUUUUGGUGGAGUUGAAUUUACAAACGCAUGCGGGUAAAUGUGAAUGCCAAAAUUUUGAAUAAUUUGCUGGCAUAUUAUGAAAGUAUUUGUUCGUCAAGACAUUGAUACAAUACCGUCCCACUUUAUUCUUUCAAGAUGGAAACAAGGAGCAAAUAAGUUUAGAGUUACGGAUUCUGAAGCCUUGGUACAGAAUGAUGGUAAAGAACAAUCAGAAGCAUUGAGAUUUAGUCACAUGUGUCGGAGAGCCACUCAACUAGCUUGUUAUGCUGCACCCUCUGAUGAGGCAUACACAAUUUUCUUGGAUGGUUUAGAUGAAUUGUCAAAAAAAAUUUCAGAGAUAAAUAAGGUGUCACAAGAAGAUGAUAUGGAGUAUCAAGAUAAUGUUGUCCAAGGUGAAGCAGCAAAUAAAUGUACCAGUAAGUCCUCUGGGCCAUUGCUUUUGGAUCCAAAUAUCUCAAAGACUAAGGGUAGAAAGAAGGAUGAGAACAACAGAAGAAUAAUAAAAAGUUCUAAGAGGAUAAAAGGGGGUAUGGAGUUGGCUCAAAGUAAGCAGAGAAAGUGUACAAUAUGCCAACAGUCAGGACAAAACACUAGUAGAAAAAAAGGCUUAAGCGACGGGUACUUUCAUAUUUUGUCGCUUAAGCAAUUCCUAAGCGACGAAAACGGAUAUCAUCGCUAAAGAUACUUUUUUCGUCGCUACAAUUUUCUGGGGCGACGAAAUAUUUUUGUCGCUUAAGAUUUGUCGCCACAGGUCCUAAUAAGGCGACAACAAGGAUUUUAUCGCAAAAAAUUUAUGUAGCGACAAAAAUUUAACGCUUAAGCGACAAAUUAGUUUGUCGCACGAUAUCAUUACCCUAACUGACAAAUUCAUAUUUCGUCGCUUUAAUGUUAGACUAAAGCGACAGAAAUUUUGAAUCUUGAGCGACGAAAUUUUUUGUCGCAUUAUAGCCUUCACCUACCCGACAAAUUUAAUUUUCGUCGUCAGAGGUUAAAACUAAAGCGACGGAAUAUUUGGCUCUUGAGCGACGAAAUUGUUCCUCGCAUUAUAUCCUUCACCUAACCGACGAAUUUAGUUUCGUCGUGUUAGUUUAAGAUUAAAGCGACGGAACUUGAGUUUAAAGCGACGAAAGUGUUUGUCCCAUUAUCCUAAGCGACAAAACUUUUUGACUUAAGCGACGAAAUAUUCCGUCGCUUAAGUGAAAUCUUCUUUGCUUCACUUCCAGAUCGAAAAACUGCAGGAAAACAGAUCGAGCUACAGUGAAAAAAAAUCUGCACAAAUCAAUCUCGCAAAUCUCUGGCUUAUUUGAUGCAUGAUCAUCAUCCGUGUUCUUCUAAUGCAUUGUUCAUCUUCAUCCACUAGUUUGUAGUUUGGUAAAUGCUCUUUCUCCCUCUUUUCUACCAUUUUUUCCUGAUGAGUUUUCCGGUGAAAUAUUCCGGUCAAUUAUUGUUACUAAUAUUUUUAGAUGUGUGUUGGUUUUAUGAUGAAUUUUGGUUACCUAGCUAUUGGUUUUCUUGUUUAUAUAUAUAUAUAUAUAUAUAUAUAUUAUUCAUAUUGCUAAAUGUUAAAUUUUAGUAAUAUAUAUAUUUAUGAGAAUAUAUUUAGGUUGACUGUACACUUUGUGAGAAUAUUGGCAUGCAUGGUAAUAUAUAUGAGAAUUUUGAGAAUAUUUGGUAAUAUAUAUAUAUGAGAAUAUUUAGGUUUAUGUUGAAUAUUUAUGAGAAUAUUUGGUAUUAUAUAUUUAUGAGAAUAUUUUGGUAAUAUAUUUUUUCAUAUAUAUUUCAUUUUUCUGUAUGCAAAUGAUUAUGUGUGUUUAUUUGCGUGAUGAAUGUAAGAAUGAUAAUAUUCUUGCAUUCUAGCUACUUACAUGUUUAGCCUUAGAAAUCCCGUUCAAGAAUUAUUUUGUUACAACUUUGUUUGACAAAAUGAUUCUUGAAUUGUCCCAUUUUUAGACAGUUUGGAAGAACAUGACUUUAAUUCGCACUGAUUUAUGAUGUGGUGGUUCAGUUUUCGAUAGUGGGUAAUUUCGACAUGGUCUCCCGCUAUUGUUCCUCGAGUGCACAUUAGGUAUAGAAAUUGAUGCACUUGGGGAACUGUAGGGAGAUGUUGCCGAAAUUUUCCCACGUCGGAUUCGAAACCACUAUAACAUAAAUCAGUGCGAAACAAAGUCAUGUUCUCCCAAAUCGGAUUAGGACCCUAACCGGAGGCAUAAGGUGAUGAAGAAGAAGAAUUGAAUGGAUAUAUGUGCUUAUUUGUUGCUAACAAUGUGCAUUUUUUUUUCUAUUAUGAUAGGCAUGCGGAAAAAAUGGACAAGAGCUGGAUGCAGUACAAUAGGGGACACCCUUUAUAUAUACAGGGGAUCGUAGAUUUUCUGCAAUUUGUACAACAAUACGGUGGUGGAAAGGAAUGGCACAAGUGUCCAUGUAAAAGAUGUUGUUGCGGUAGUUGGGAGACAAUUCAGGGUAUAGAAAAGCAUUUGUCACAUUACGGCAUGGAUCCGUAUUAUACUACAUGGACUAAACACGGUGAAGUGCUAGUUAAUGAUCCUAUAAUGCCUUAUUUCCAACCAAAUAACUUGCAUGAGGCUGGCUCAUCUAGUGCUUCCGUCAGCCCUUAUAUGGAUCCCACGUUGAACAUGCUACAUGAUGCUUUUCCAUAUGCUUCAAGAUAUCAUCAGGAAGAGAAUUUUGAUGCACCCCAGGAAACAUAUUCUACUUUCUCGAACCCAAACACUGGUGAUUACGAUAAGUACAACAGGAUGCUCGAAGAAGCGCAGACCCCAGUGUACGAGGGACGUUCAGAAACUGUUUUGAGUUCUCUCAUGGAACAUAUGAGUCUGAAAAAGAAGCACAGGACCUCGAACGAACAUUUUGAUGACGUAUCAUCAUUUAUCAGACGUUUGCUUCCUCCUGCAAACAAACUACCAUCGAGUCAUUACAAUGCAAAAAAGAUCCUGAACGACCUCGGUCUUGAUUAUGUGAAAAUUGAAGCUUGUAAGAAUAAUUGUGUUCUGUUUUACAGAGAUUACAAAGACGCAUUUAGAUGUCGUAAGUGUAAUGCGUCGAGGUGGGAAGAUACUCUUUCCCCUAAAGGGAAAAUGAUUCCUAUGAAGGUGCUUCGUUAUUUCCCGUUGACUCCUAGGCUGCGGCGCCUCUACAUGUGUGAAAAAACUGCUGAGGAUAUGAGAUGGCACGGUAUUCCGAGGGAAGAUGACGAUGCGCUGAUACACCCCGCAGAUGGGGAAGCAUGGAAAUCAUUUGACUUAUCAUUUCCUGAUUUCGCUGCAGACGUUCGAAACGUAAGGCUCGGACUCUCAACAGACGGGUUUAAUCCCUAUGGAAACAUGAACUUGUCUUACAGUAUCUGGCCUGUUAUUGUUGUUUGUUACAACCUGCCUCCCUGGAUGUUAAUGAAGAAGGAAUAUAACAUGUUGGCUCUGUUAAUUCCAGGACCAAAGUCUCUAGGUAAGUGUCUCGAUGUGUAUUUGAGACCACUGAUUGAUGAGUUGAAUGGGUUAUGGGAAAAUGGAGCAUUGACUUUUGACAAGCUUACCGGUACUUCAUUCAUGAUGAGAGCAUCACUGAUGUGGACUAUUAGCGAUUUUCCUGGUUCGGGAUGUUGUCCUCUCAUACCACUAAAGGGUACAAAGCUUGUCCACUCUGCUUAACCGACAUCAAUUCUAGUUGGCACGCUGAUAGGGUGUGUUAUAUGGGAGCUCGUAGAUGGCUUCCAGAUGAUCAUGAAUGGAGACUUGAUGCAGUAACUUCGAUGGGAAACAAGAGUUUGGUCUGAAACCCCGAGAAUGGAGUGGCGAUGAAAUUUUAGAUUUGUUGAACUCCUUUGACUUCGGAACUCUGAGCAGUGAUCGUGAAGUAUUGGCUCGGAAUCCUAAACGUCCUUCGUAUCUUGCAAAUUGGACACACAAGAGUAUAUUCUUUGAGCUGCCUUACUGGUCAAAGUUAAGAAUAAGGCACAACCUAGAUGUCAUGCAUAUAGAGAAGAAUGUUUGUGACAACAUUGUUGGAACAAUUCUGGAUAUAAAAGAAAAGACUAAGGACACUAUCAAAGCGCGGUGCGAUUUGCAAAAUAUGGGUUUACGCCCACACUUGUGGGUAAAACGGACCGGCUCUAAAGUUGUUAUGCCUGUUGCACCCUACUAGGUGAAGCCGACUUUGAGGCCUAAAGUUUUCAGCUGGAUUCAAGAUGUUAAGUAUCCUCAAGGGUAUGCAGCAAAUAUAUCUCGAUGUGUUAAAGUGGGAGAAGAGAAGAUAAUUGGAAUGAAGACGCAUGACUGUCACGUUUUGCUGCAGCGGCUACUUCCAGUCGUAAUUAGACUAGUGUUGCAUUGUGAUGUUGUGGAGCCAUUAGUAGCGCGCCUUGUUCCGGUUCUGGCAGAAGUUAUGUGCUCGGGAGUUGAAGAAGUCAGAUGUUCUUACAUUAAAAGAAGACAUCGUCUACAUCCUUGCAAACUGGAGAGGAUUGCCCCCCCCCCCACUUUUUUUUCUAUUAUGGUUCACCUCAUGAUCCACCUGCCUGAACAAGUGUUGCUUACCGGUCCAGUACACAACACCUGGAUGUUUCUCAUGGAAGGUAAAAAUUUACUAUUUCCUAGCACGUACUUUAUAUCUUUGAUUUAUUAUAUUAUUGGCGAGCUCAAUAAACUAACUCCGACGUUUUUUUUUUUCAGACAACUCGGCGGAUAUAAGGGGUACGUUAAAAAUAAAUAUCGUUCGAAGGGGUCAAUAGCAGAGGCAUACAAGGCACAUGAGUGUGUAACCUCUAAUGAAAAUUAUCUCCAUCAAGAAACAGAGCAUGUUAGCAGUGAGAAUACACCUAGGUUCAACAUUUAAGUUGUUUCUGAUGAUAUCCGUUUGUUUGGGAAAUUACCAAUUUCUGAAAGAUUAACCGAUGAUGAGAUUGUUGAGGCUCAUUGGUGGGUACUGCGACACUGUGACCAAAUCGACAUGUUUAGACAUCCACAUGAACAACUUUGCAAAUUAAAUAUGGUGACAGAUGGGGAAGAGAUGCAAAAGAAGACAUUUCCAAAUACUUCAUAAAAAUGGGUGCGUUUGAGUUUCAUGUUUUUACACGUAGAAUUUCAUGUGUUUGUGAUUCCAAAAUUAACAUGUUUUGAUGUUUUUUCAGGUUGCAAAGUUGCAAGAAGAAAAUAGUGUACACUACAAACCCGAGUUGUCGUAUUUGGCUGGUAAGCCGCAACAUGUGAAUAUAUAUGCUGCUUGUGUAAUCAACGGCAUUAAGUUUUUGACAUUGCAUCGAGAUUAUGGUCGAAAGACACAAAANNNNNNNNNNNNNNNNNNNNGAAAGAUUAACCGAUGAUGAGAUUGUUGAGGCUCAUUGGUGGGUACUGCGACACUGUGACCAAAUCGACAUGUUUAGACAUCCACAUGAACAACUUUGCAAAUUAAUAUGGUGACAGAUAGGGAAGAGAUGACAAAAGAAGACAUUUCCUAAAUACUUCAUAAAAUGGGUGCGUUUGAGUUUCAUGUUUUUACACGAGAAUUUCAUGUGUUUGUGAUUUCCAAAAAUUAACAUGUUUUGAUGUUUUUUCAGGUUGCAAAGUUGCAAGAAGAAAAUAGUGUACACUACAAACCCGAGUUGUCGUAUUUGGCUGGUAAGCCGCAACAUGUGAAUAUAUAUGCUGCUUGUGUAAUCAACGGCAUUAAGUUUUUGACAUUGCAUCGAGAUUAUGGUCGAAAGACACAAAACAGUGGCGUGAUGUGUGUGGGUACAGAAGACGGAGCUGAAUAUUACGGGGUCGUUAUAUCUGUUGUCGAACUAAUCUACGCAAUUGGUAUGCCAGUUGUGUUAUUGAAGUGUAGAUGGUUUAAUGACCCAAAUAUACCAAGGAGUACCAAGAUGGAUUAUGGUUUGUUAUCAGUGAAUACAUGCACAAGCUGGUAUGAGAAUCAACCGUUUAUUGUUGCCACAAUGGCAAGACAAGUUUUUUAUCUUGAUGAUCCAAAGGAGGGUGGGGGUUGGAAAAUUGUUAACGUGAUGUCACAUAGAGGUAUUUACACUGCAACUACACUUGAGAUGGGUAUUGCGAAUAGAGAUAUUGAGAAUGUGACUCUUGAACCAUAUCAAGAAGCCUCAACGUCUAAUAUCCCCGACACGGAGACUAUUCGCAUCAACAACGACAUCCACUUCCAACCCCGCGAGUACGCUCCCAUUUCUAAUUUAGAGUUUGACUUCGGUUCACUUCCAUUCAUCCCACCAACUGAGGACUUCAUUGACGACGACGAGGAAGACUCAGACGAUCAUUUAUAUGAAGUGAGUGAGGAUGAUUUAGAAGACAGAGACUACGUUGAUAGCGAUUGAAAACUCAUUAUGUGUUCGGAGGGGUCAAAUUUUCGAUUUAUUAUGUCAUGAAUUUAUUAUAUAUGUAAUGUAAUUUAUUCUAUUAGUUGUGAUAUGUAUUAAUUUCUGAUUGAUUUAGUUUUAUACUUUACUAACAUUUUCGAUGUAGCAGAAAUAUAAACGUUAGAAUCCACCAACGGCAACUUGAAUCCACUAGUCAAGGUUUUUUAUUAAUAUGAAACUAUCGAGAGGAGUUCUGGGAUCCACUAGAGAAUUAAGAUAAACUCAAGGUUUUUUAUUAAUAUGAAAGCUGACAACUAGAACUGAUAAAUGCUCCUUAUAUAAGAGCAAAUAAACCUUAGGACAACUAACAUCAAAGCCUAAAAGCCCAUGGAUUAAAAAGAAAACCAAAUUCAAAACAAACUAUUAAAAUAAAUGUCUGAAAAUAAGUAAAUAUGCAUUUUGAAGGCCUAAAUGGACUCGGAUGGCCUAAAAAGCCCAUAUGUCGUGGUAAAACCACGAGUUUUGUUCGUUGGGCCGUUCUGCUUCCAAAAAGGUAUCAUAAUAGUCAAUUGGACACCGAACGCCAAAUUUGAAGCAAACCGGGUAUAGACUUAUUUCGAUUGUUCUCACUAUCUAUUAUAUAUCAAAUUUUAUGAGUAUUAAUUAGCAGAAAAUGAAAUAAGUGAAAUAUAAAUGAUUUUCCAACUUAAGCGACGAAUUUUGUUAUUUUCGUCGCUUUAAAAUGUAUAUUAUUUGGCGGAAAGUCAAAAAUUUAAGUCACUUAAGCGACGAAAAAUAAAUACAUCGUCGCUUAAGUCCCAAAAUAUUUGGCGGGCUGCAUUCCAGGACCAAAUUUUGGCCCAAAUUUAAACAAACUUAAGCGACAGAAGUUUUAAAUGUUGCCGUCGCUUAAGCCUCACUAUGUAUAUUGUUUCAGCGCGCACUUCCUGAUCUCAAUCCCUAACACAUUGAAAAAAACCCUCAAAUCCCUUCACUCCCAGCCCUCCCUUCACUCCCGGCCCUCUUCCUCCUUACUUACCGCCCUCCUUACCCCUCUUCCUCCUUACCGGCCCUCUUCCUCUUUACUGGUCCCCAAAUCCCUUCACUCAUCUUCCUCCUGGUUUCACUCCCGGUCCUCUUUCUCCUCUCACUACCUAGAUGCCGCCGGCGCUCAGGAAAAGGAAAGCUAGGGAGGAGGCGGAGGAGCGUCUGCGACUGGAGUGUGCGCAACAAUACGGCUCCUCUUCUGCCGGGUCCAACACAGCCACUCCGACGACGACGGCGCCUGCAGGAUCUCUUGCUUCAUCGGCUCCCCCUCUAACCGACGACGAAGACGAGUCAACGACCCAAGUAGCAGAAACACCAGCUGAGGGUGCACCCAGGGUUUUCAGCGCUCGCCGGAAACCGAAGAAAACCGGAGGACCUCCCCAGAAAGGCAACCGGGGUGUGGUGAACAACGCAAAGGUGGCUGAUAUUGUGAAAAGCACGGGGAAGAAGAUCGACUUGGACUUUGAUUGGGAAGUGAUUGAUGGACCCCGUAAUUCGGAUGUAUGCAGCCUCUUUGUCAAUAGUCUUGGAAGCAUCAUACGAAAAAGAGUGGCAAUGAAGAAGGGAUCGUGGUAUGAUUUAGACAAGGAGGAGAGGAAGAAGCUUUUUGACGGUUUCACUGUAAGUUAAGAUAACUUUCAGUUAAUUUUUUUGGUAUUUUGAUUCCCUGCAUCUUGGUAUUUUGAUUCCCUUUCAAGUGCUAAAAGCCUAAAAUGCUUUGUUCUGAUAAUAUGUUUGGUUGGAGUAGAAACAGAAUUAGGAAUUUGGCUUAAUUUCAAGUGCUUGUACAUCUAGAUUGUGAUUGUAUCUGAUUGCUUGUACAUAAAGUUUAUCAGCAAGAGAAAAGUUAUCAAAUGACAAAAGAGAUCGAUGAGAUUAGUUACUGUAUUUAAUCAAAUGAAGUAGUGUCUGGGAAAUAAUCAAACUGAUCUCUUUGGAUUUUAUAUAUAGUGUGUGUCUGUUGUUUUUCAUGCAUAGGAAUGAUAGGAUAUAGAUGUGUCAAAUCAGUAUGAGUGCUAAGUAGCAUGAACUUUGCAUGUCUCAGGUUUUUCACAACUUGAUUAUGAGUGUUUGGAUUUGAAUGCAAUAUUUGACUCAUGUUUCAUACCAAUUGUGGGGUUUAUGAUUCCCCUAUCUCAAUCCACGUACUGCUACAUACGUUGAUCAGUUGAUCAAUGAUCUAUUUGAGUUUUUUUCUUCUUCUCCUCACUUGUUUUUUUUUUAUUGAGGACUUAGAAGUAAAGAAUUUGGCUUAAUUGAAUAAACCCUAAGGGAUUACAAAGAAAGAGAACGACUUAGUUAUUCAAAAUACAGAUAAAUCAUGAGAUGGAUCACAUAUGUUUUGUCUUUGGUACUUAUAGUGUUUGUGUACGUUUUGUGUCACUUUCUCAUAGUGUUUCUUGUUCCAAUCAUGGAUGAUGCUCUUAUAUAGUUGCAAGUAGAUAUGCUUAAAGAACUUGAUUGGGACUUUGAUCGACUUGGUUUUUAUGAUUAUUUCUCUCAUAAAGUUCCAUCAUAUCAUCCAAUCAUGAGUCUUGUUAAUUGGUAGGAACUGUGCAUCUAUUCAUAAGUGCAAAGUGGAACUUUCCCUGUCUAGUGCUGCAAGCAGCUAAUACUUUAGAUCAUAAGGUUCAGUUCCGUUAUUUGAAAGUGUUAUCUGUGAAUUCCUAGGCAAGGUGGAAAUCCCAAUUUGUGGAUAAGCAUUUGGGAUUUUCUUCUAAAGAUUGGUUUGUUCCUUUCUCUAGUCUUCUCUGUUGAUAGAACGAAACAUAAUCUCUGUUCUCUGAUAUGGUUCUAAUUUUUUGUAUUGGUAUAUCUCUCAAUUUCCAUGCAUCAUGGUAUUAAUUUUUUUGGUAUUUUGAUUCCCUGCAUCAUUGCAACUUAAUGGUUUCAUGUUUUCUAUGUCUUGCAGUGUUUUUUUAUCAUUGAUUUUAAUGAUGUAAAAGCCAUUAAAUGGAUAAAUAAAAGGGUGGCAAGUGUAUUCCGUGAAUGGAAGCAUGACUUGUCCGAGAUUCACAAGCUCGGGGGGAGAGACAUGAUUCCAGAAGAGCUUUUGCACAGGCGGGAUGAGUGGGAGUGGCUUUGCAUGCAUUUUGAAUCGGACAAGUACAAGGUAUAAAUUAAGUUUUGGUUAUGAGAGUUUGGUGUUAUUUGAUAGGGUAGGUGAUUUGUGGUGAUUUUCCCUGGUAGGGAAGUUAACUACCACUCAUUGUUAUAUCAUGAUAGCACAACAGUGAUCAAUAUCAUUCUAGGAAAAUCUCAAUAUGUGUUUUUAGAAACAAUAAAUUGGCAUGGAUAUUUAUAUUGGUAGUAUCUUACCUGAUGAUGGAUUCUUUUGUUGGAUGUUAUGAUGGAUUCAUUUGUUAGAUGUUAUGCUGCCAUUUAGCUCAUGUAUGACACCAAAAGAAUGAAUAUUCACAUGAGUUUAUGUAUAUAAUAUAUAUAUAUAUAUUUUUUUUUUUGGAGAAGAACGAAAAAGAUGAGUUUAUGUAUAUUGUUUCCAGAAUACAAUCUGCACAGCUAUGGUGCUCAAUAUAGUGUAUGCAAACUGGGAGUACAACUUUCGUUUUGCAUUUCUCAUUUUCUCCCUCUGCAGGUACUUGACUGACGAGGCUACUGCACUUUUGCUUUACUCUUUAUUGCAAGGAAAUGAUGGUUUUGCUGUUGUUUACUUCUUUUUUUCCUUGUAUAUAGCAGUAUUAGUUAAACUCAUAUCUGCAUUUCCUCCAUACAUGCAUAGUCUUAAAAUUGUACUAUACCAUGUCAAACUCAGUACCUCCCAGUAAGUAAUCUAGACUACCUGCAUACAUGUCAUUGCUUUGCUUUCUGUUUACUUGUUUCAUUUGCUGUGUAGUUUUGCUACUGUGUACUUGUGAUUUGAGUGGGAUUUAGGACUCUUAAUGACUUGAAAAUUUGUGCAGAGACGAUCGGUUGCCAACUCCAGCAACCGUGGUAAGAAGGAGUUAGAGCACCACUCAGGGAGGAAACCUAUCAUUUACUAGGUGGCCGAGCUAAGGGAUAAGGGUGCUUCAUUACCGGUGGUUGACGUGUACCCGACGACAUACGACAUCAACAAGCCUAAAGCUGUUGAGCAUUAUGUAAGUAUCAAUACCUACUGCCUUAACAAAGUUUCUAUGCCACUUUGCCUGUUGUAUAUUUCAUGUGAUGUUCAUUUGGUAAUAAGUGUAGUUAAAUUAUAAUGAAUUGCUGAUAACUGUUUUGUGCCGAAACUUUUGGUGUUAUGUGGUGUAGCUGUCUUGAGUUCGAAUUUCAUUAGGAUUGAGGACUCCGUUUGGCUUGAAACUUUGUACCCUUGUCCUUCCAUGUGAUUACCCUUGAUCUGGAAAGUUUGGUGUUGUUUGAUAAGGUAGAUGAUUCAUGGUGAAUUUUUGAAUUUGGGUACACUGCACUGGAAAUUGUGUUUGUGUUCAGCAGUUCAGUUGCUUCGUAUUUGAUUGGGUUUUGGGUCUUUUUUUGGCUUGAAAUUUUGUGCUCUUGUUCUUCCUUAUGUUUACUCUUGGUCUGCAAAUUUUGGUGUUAUUUGAUAAGAUAGAUGAAUUAUGGUGAUUUUCUAAAAUUAAGUGCUUUGUGCUGAAAUUGUAUUCGAGUUAUGCUGCGGAGUUGUGUUAAGUCUGAAUUUGAUCAGGAUUUAAGACUCAUUUUGGUUUGAAACUUUGUACUCUUGUUCUUCUAUAUGAGAACUAUUGAUCUGGAAAGUUUCAGCUUAUUCCAAUGUAAAUUAACAAGUAGGUGAUUUUUCAAAGUUUACCUUGCAGUUGGUAAAGUCCCAAAAUUUUAAGUAUGCUUCCUUGUUUUCUGUUGAGCUAAGUGUGUGUGUGUAUAAGCAUGUUGCUAGUGUAUAGAGAACCGUGCUACAUUCCAGAAUUACAAGGAUCAUUAGAAGCUUUCGUGGUGUGUGAUGAUACUAUGGGUGUCCAUAGUAGUUUGGUGUUUGAUUGUUAUAUUGUAAAGCUGAUGCCUGUUGCAUAUUUCAUGUGAUGUGUAUUUGGUAAAGCUGAUUACUGCUUCAGUUAUCAUGUUUUGAUGAUGUUAUAAUAGUUGCAUAUAUGACUUGUACAUAUUAUUCUUGAAUUGUAGGAAAAGUUGAAGGAACAAGGUGCUAUUGCCAAGACUUUGCAGAGCACUCAACAUCCGGACAUCCCACCGGAUCAGCUACCUCCUUUGGACUGGCCAACUCAACUAAGUGUUGUGCAAAACGCUAUGAGAGAAACAAAAGGGUCUUACUUUCGUGGUAUUGGACGAGCAGGCGUCCUAGAGAAGAGCAGAAGGUCAACAUCUUCCUCUUCAUGCUCUCGACCGAAUAAUGAGGCGAUGACAGAGAUAGUGGCUGCUAGAAAGGAGGCGGCUGAGGCACAAGAGAGGGCUGACAAAGCACAAGAGAAGGCUGAAAAAGCCCAGAAGAUCGCUAAGCAGUCUGUUGCAGAUUAUCAAGUGUUGAAGUUGCAAAUGGAUCAAAUCAUGGCUCGAAUAGGGCUACAGCCUAUGUGUUCACCCUCGGUCCCAAGCCAACAACCUCGAGACGACGAUGAUGAUAGGGGCCUUGACACUUCUCAGAUUAGUUUAGGAAAUCAGUAGACUUUUUUAGUUUAAAUAAUUGUACAAACAAUAUUAGCUAGUAUUUAUUUGGUUGGUACGAUAACUUUAUUAUUAUUAUUAGUAAUAUAAAUAUUUCGGUUAAUUUAUUUUGGUUUUACAGGAAUUAUUUAUAACUUACAUGAAUAUAUUUUUGAGUUAUUAUAAUAUCUCUCUCAGUAAUAAUAAAAACAUUUUUUUUUUUCAAAAAAACUAAAACCUAAGCGACGAAACUUUUUGUCUCUUAAGAUGCUUAUUUUGUCGCUUAAGAGUAAAAAUUAGGCGCCAAAAGUUGACAGGCCAAAAAAGUCUUUUGUCGCAUAAGGCUAUAGCGACGGAACCGUUCGUUGCUAAACCAAACAGGUUCGUCGCUUAACCGUAAAACGACAAGACAACAUACGUCGCUGAACAACUUAAGCGACAAAAUUUUUUGUCGCCUAAGUUAAUUAUUCGUCGCAUUAGAGGUAGCGACAAAAAAGGAUAGUCGCUAAACUAAUAAUUUUCGUCCCUUAACUGUAAAACGACAAAAAAAAUACGUCGCUGGAAAACUUAAGCGACGAAUAUAAUUCGUCGCUUAAGUUAAUUAUUCGUCGCCUGCAGGUCUGUGGCGACAUAAACAAACCCCGUCGCUUUGUUCGUUUUCUUAAGCGACGGAUUAUAUGUUUUUGUCGCUUAAGUACCUAUGAGACGCGUCAUAUGCGACGAAUCUUAAACGACGCCGGUUUCGUCGCUUAAGCUAUAAAGCGACAAAAAUGAGAACUUAGGCGACGAUUUUUUCCCGUCGCUUAAGUCUUUAUUUCUACUAGUGAGAUUAUGUAUGGAAGUACUCAAAUCAUUUUGUGAUAUGAACAACAAGAAGCUUUUGAUAAAAAAAUUAAAAAAAACAACAACAACAAGAAGUUGAAAUAAGUAUAUAUGUCUAAGUUGAAAUAGAGAGUACCAUCAUCAUCUACCUCUUCUUCUUCAAAGAAAAAAAAUUAUCAUACGAUGUAUGUCAUAACAUGUUGGAAAACUUAUGAUCAGAUUAUGUAUGGAAGUACUCAGAUCNNNNNNNNNNNNNNNNNNNNUCACAAGCUUGGGGGGAGAGACGUGAUUCCAGAAGAGCUUUUGCACAGGCGGGAUGAGUGGGAGUGGCUUUGCACGCAUUUUGAAUCGGACAAGUACAAGGUAUAAAUUAAGUUUUGGUUAUGAGAGUUUGGUGUUAUUUGAUAGGGUAGGUGAUUUGUGGUGAUUUUCCCUGGUAGGGAAGUUAGCUACCACUCAUUGUUAUAUCAAGAUAGCACAAUAGUGAUCAAUAUCAUUCUAGGAAAAUCUCAAUAUGUGUUUUUAGAAACAAUAAAUUGGCAUGGAUAUUUAUAUUAGUAGUAUCUUACCUGAUGAUGGAUUCUUUUGUUGGAUGUUAUGAUGGAUUCAUUUGUUGGAUGUUAUGCUGCCAUUUAGCUCAUGUACGACACCAAAAGAAUGAAUAUUCACAUGAGUUUAUGUAUAUAAUAUAUAUAUAUAUUUUUUUUGAGAAGAAACGAAAAAGAUGAGUUUAUGUAUAUUGUUUCCAGAAUACAAUCUGCACAGCUAUGGUGCUCAAUAUAGUGUAUGCAAACUGGGAGUACAACUUUCGUUUUGCAUUUCUCAUUUUCUCCCUCUGCAGGUACUUGACUGAUGAGGCUGCUGCACUUUUGCUUUACUCUUUAUUGCAAGGAAAUGAUGGUUUUGCUGUUGUUUACUUCUUCUUUUUUUCCUUGUAUAUAGCAGUAUUAGUUAAACUCAUAUCUGCAUUUCCUCCAUACAUGCAUAGUCUUAUAAUUGUACUCUACCAUGUCAAACUCAGUACCUCCCAGUAAGUAAUCUAGACUACCUGCAUACAUGUCAUUGCUUUGCUUUCUGUUUACUUGUUUCAUUUGCUGUGUAGUUUUGCUACUGUGUACUUGUGAUUUGAGUGGGAUUUAGGACUCUUAAUGACUUGAAAAUUUGUGCAGAGACGAUCGGUUGCGAACUCCAGCAACCGUGGUAAGAAAGAGUUAGAGCACCACUCAGGGAGGAAACCUAUCAUUUACCGGGUGGCCGAGCUAAGGGAUAAGGGUGCUUCAUUACCGGUGGUUGACGUGUACCCGGUGACAUACGACAUCAACAAGCCUAAAGCUGUUGAGCAUUAUGUAAGUAUCAAUACCUACUGCCUUAACAAAGUUUCUAUGCCACUUUGCCUGUUGUAUAUUUCAUGUGAUGUUCAUUUGGUAAUAAGUGUAGUUAAAUUAUAGUGAAUUGCUGAUAAGUGUUUUGUGCCGAAACUUUUGGUGUUAUGUGGUGUAGCUGUCUUGAGUUCGAAUUUCAUUAGGAUUGAGGACUCCGUUUGGCUUGAAACUUUGUACCCUUGUCCUUCCAUGUGAUUACCCUUGAUCUGGAAAGUUUGGUGUUGUUUGAUAAGGUAGAUGAUUCAUGGUGAAUUUUUGAAUUUGGGUACACUGCACUGGAAAUUGUGUUUGUGUUCAGCAGUUCAGUUGCUUCGUAUUUGAUUGGGUUUUGGGUCUUCGUUUGGCUUGAAAUUUUGUGCUCUUGUUCUUCCUUAUGUUUACUCUUGGUCUACAAAGUUUGGUGUUAUUUGAUAAGAUAGAUGAAUUAUGGUGAUUUUCUAAAAUUAAGUGCUUUGUGCUGAAAUUGUAUUCGAGUUAUGCUGCGGAGUUGUGUUAAGUCUGAAUUUGAUCAGGAUUUAAGACUCAUUUUGGUUUGAAACUUUGUACUCUUGUUCUUCUAUAUGAGAACUAUUGAUCUGGAAAGUUUCAGCUUAUUCCAAUGUAAAUUGACAAGUCGGUGAUUUUUCAAAGUUUCGUCGCUUAGGUUUUAGGAACUAUUAUUCUUGAAUUGUAGGAAAAGUUGAAGGAACAAGGUGCUAUUGCCAAGACUUUGCAGAGCACUCAACACCCGGACAUCCCACCGGAUCAGCUACCUCCUUUGGACUGGCCAACUCAACUAAGUGUUGUGCAAAACGCUAUGGGAGAAACAAAAGGGUCUUACCUUCGUGGUAUUGGACGAGCAGGCGUCCUAGAGAAGAGUAGAAGGUCAACAUCUUCCUCUUCAUGCUCUCGACCGAAUAAUGAGGCGAUGACAAAGAUAGUGGCUGCUAGAAAGGAGGCGGCUGAGGCACAAGAGAGGGCUGACAAAGCACAAGAGAAGGCUGAAAAAGCCCAGAAGAUCGCUGAGCAGUUUGUUGCAGAUUAUCAAGUGUUGAAGUUGCAAAUGGAUCAAAUCAUGGCUCGAAUAGGGCUACAGCCUAUGUGUUCACCCUCGGUCCCAAGCCAACAACCUCGAGACGACGAUGAUGAUAGGGGCCUUGACACUUCUCAGAUUAGUUUAGGAAAUCAGUAGACUUUUUUAGUUUAAAUAAUUGUACAAACAAUAUUAGCUAGUAUUUAUUUGGUUGGUACGAUAACUUUAUUAUUAUUAUUAUUAGUAAUAUAAAUAUUUCGGUUAAUUUAUUUUGGUUUUACAGGAAUUAUUUAUAACUUACAUGAAUAUAUUUUUGAGUUAUUAUAAUAUCUCUCUCAAUAAUAAUAAAAACUAUUUUUUUUUUCAAAAAAACUAAAACCUAAGCGACGAAACUUUUUGUCUCUUAAGAUGCUUAUUUUGUCGCUUAAGAGUAAAAAUUAGGCGCCAAAAGUUGACAGGCUAAAAAAGUCUUUUGUCGCAUAAGGCUAUAGCGACGGAACCGUUCAUCGCUAAACCAAACAGGUUCAUCGCUUAACCGUAAAACGACAACACAACAUACGUCGCUGAACAACUUAAGCGACAAAAAUUUUUGUCGCCUAAGUUAAUUCUUCGUCGCAUUAGAGGUAGCGACAAAAAAGGAUCGUCGCUAAACUAAUAAUUUUCGUCCCUUAACUGUAAAACGACAAAAAAAAUACGUCGUUGGAAAACUUAAGCGACGAAUAUAAUUCGUCGCUUAAGUUAAUUAUUCGUCGCCAGGUCUGUGGCGACAUAAACAAACCCCGUCGCUUUGUUCAUUUUCUUAAGCGACGGAUUAUAUGUUUUUGUCGCUUAAGUACCUAUGAGACGCGUCAUAUGCGAUGAAUCUUAAGCGACACCGGUUUCGUCGCUUAAGCUAUAAAGCGACAAAAAUGAGAACUUAGGCGACGAUUUUUUCCCGUCGCUUAAGUCUUUCUUUCUACUAGUGUAAUAGGCUUACUUGUCCUUUAAAUCCUGAUGCAAAAAGAAAAACUAUUGUUUCUACUAAUCAAAGUAAGUUAACUUUUCUCUUCUUUUUAUUUAUCAGAUCAUAUAGUGUUAUGAUAAUUACUAACACACACUUUUGUCUUUUGUAUUUGUAGAGAGUAAAAAUAUGCAAGAGACGCUCACAGUUUCGGACAAGGAAGAUUCAGACAAGGAGGAUUCAGACGAGGAGGAUUCAGACAACAACUAUGAAGAAUAAAUUUACCUCCCUAUUGAUUUUUUUUCCUUCCUUUUCGUGGCUACAAUUUCUUUUAGGGAGUUUUGGUUAGUUUUGUUAUUGUACAAGAGGAUGUUAUUUUUGUUUUUAUAAGAAGAUGAUGUACUCCUAUAUAUUGAUUUCGUAUUAAAUGCAUUGAGAGGAUGAUAUGUACGAUUUAUCAUACAAACAUGGGAUCUACAGACAUGAUACUCUUGCAUCCAAAUUUGAUGAUGUAAAAUGUGCAAAUAUCUUGUGUGAAUGUAGGGAGAGAUUGAUGAAAUCUAGGCAUCAAAACUGAUGACUUCAGACGUUGCUUUGCUUCUGUAGUGAACGAAUUUUCAGGCAAAAACUGAAACCAUUGCAACAAGGUACAAUAAUAAAAUUCAACUUGCUGCCAGUACGUUGUCUUUGUAAAUAUCCUUUUGUAAAAGUAGUGCUUCAAUUGUCAUCGCUGAUUAAAGGUAAUUAAGUGAACCAUGAGAGGCAACAAUUGCAUCAUUCACAUGAUUCAUCAACUCAAUACUAUUGGAACAUGAGAAGCUAGCAAACAAACUAUGUCAACCAUGGCUUGGAUUAACGUGCGUAUGUGGUCUGGGUGUUAUUCUACAAAUUGGUUCUUUUUGUUUUUAGCACAACAUAGAACCUAGAUCGAGGUUCUUAAUUAUAGCCUCACAUUAGGGAAAGAAAAUAUACUAAAUUGGUUCUUUGCUCGUCUGUUCUCUUCUCUCUCUUGAUCUGUGAUCUUCUGGUCUUCUGCUGUCGUUCUCUUUUUUUUUUUUUUUUUCUUCUUCUCUUUUAUCGCGAUCAAACUUGAUUUUCAGAUUUUAGGUUUUGAUUUUGUUUUUUUAAUUUGAUUUGAUUUGUUAUAAAAUAAGUAAUGCCACGUCAAUUGCCACGUUAGUUUUUAUAAGUUGACAUCAUAUCUACAAUUGAUCUAGUCUAUCGAUUUUUUUAAAAUCUAAUGGACAGGAAACGGUGUCAAAAUUAGUGUCAAAUGUAAUGUCCCAGGAACCGGACCCAUCAAAUAUAUAACAAUAUAAGUUCUAAUUAAAUUAGAACUUCGUUGCUCACCUUUUUUUGAUUUUGUGUAGAGAUGCCAACUACUAAUCAUAUACCAAUAAAUAAUCAGAUCAGAAAAAUGAAAAGUUAUGAAAUAUUGUCUGAGCCAUAACUAUGCAAAUCCAGAUUUCUCAGCCACCUUUUUAACUUUCUUACCAAACUUGAGUAUUCAAUCAAUUAUGAUUCCAAUUCUCCAUGUUAUUUCUUCUCAAUAAAAAAAUCUUCAUGUUUUCAUUGAGAGAUGAUUUACUCGAAUUUGUAUUUAUUUCGAAAUUCUUCUCUCUUUGUCUUAAAGUUGAAGGAUUUGGCUUGAGAAAUUGCAAUUAAUCGUGUCUUCUUUGUUCAACAGCCCUCAGAUUUAUUCUCUGCGAGAUCAGAACUUUAGAAAACAAGCGUUGUCUGAACUCAACGACUCCAAUUCAGCCUGAAUUCAAUUCGUUUGAAAUAUGAACUGAUUGGUUUAGUAUAGUUAACAAAGUUAGGAAUUAGAAGUCAAAAAAUUUGUGCGCCCUCUGUUGAUUAGCCUAAAUCAUUACACGAUCCUGCAUCCGUCACUCACUGGUUGAAUAUGGUGUGGUCGCUCAGGCAAUAUUUCCCGACUACAAUCCUUGCAUGCAAUCACUGUUUAGUGUUCAAGAGAGCAAGUUGACAUAUCGAUCAGAGUUGCAGAGGUAGUAGUCGUGCAUGGGGCCAUUUCUCGUACUCACCUAUCCCUUUCUGUGUAAGUUAACUUUUUGUGUCCAUGCAUAUUAUUAUUGGCCGGGACCUCUACUCUUCCUUCUUCAUCAGUCUUUAUCAUUUUCCCAGUUUCUCUGCAUGUACAGGUUUGCCUUUCUUUCAUUUUCAUUCAUUCAAUUCACAUAUCCAUCUCUCAAUCUAUCCGUCGUUCCCUAUCUUCAAUCUUUGGCCAUGAGAGACUUCAUGUACGGAUCAUCAAUCAUCUUCGUUUAUAUAUCUAACUAACCCCAGUUGUAGAAUCUGAAAUGAAAUGUCGUGUCGUGGGGGCCGGGGUUUUCAGAGAGAUUGAUUCCAGUUCACCAAACAGAGAUAACAACUUAAACCUUAACUAAACACACAGUUAGAUCGAGCUAACUUGUUUAUCUUGUGACUCUUGUCCACAAACAAGCUAGUUAACUUUUCCUAUUACGAUGAGACUGAUCUUUUAGAUCUUCCAGAGUUUGGAUUUCUUUAACUUAAGUUUAGAAAAAAAAAAAAAAAAAUUGCUAUAAUAUAUGGAGAACUAAUAUGAAAAAUCUGAAAAAUGAAAAAUCUCAUAUACAUGAAUCUUUCUUGCUCCAUGUCAAAUUGGUCGAGACGCGUUUUGUGUUAGAAAAAAGGAUGGAAAAUUGUAAAGCAGAUAGUAAAGUUGUCUGAUAAGUCUUAAUCCUCAAUUCGUUUAUCGAAUUAGCUAGCUAGGGAUGUCCCAAAUAUGUCGUCAACCUCCCCAUCAUAAUCAAUCACCGACCAACAUCAUUAAACCUUAAUCGUCUUCCAAGUUCCAACAUCAUCAUUUCAUCACUAUCAAACCUUUUUUAUUCACGCAUUAAUUUUAGGGUUCGAACUCCAUGCAAGCCAAUAACUAGACAUCAUGUUCCUUUGUAACAGUUGUACUUGCUACAUAUUUUUUGAUCACAUAUUACAACUUCGUGAGUUAAAUUCACAAUCUCUUACUUUUUAAGGAGAAAUUAUGCCGUUAGACCACUUACUAAGUUGUGCUACAUAUUUGUAUUAAAAAAUUGAGUAAGAGCUUUUUUAUUCUUUAUUUUAUUUUUUACAAUUUAGAAAUUAUAUAUUUUUUUCUGUCAUAUGUAGUCCUUCAAAUAUGUUUGCAUUUCUUAAGUUUGGAAAAAUUGCUUAAAAUUCUAUUCCAUUGUGUACAAACUCUUAAACUUCUUUUUCAUACACGGAACGAAAACUAUUAUAAAUCUAUUUUAAAAGAAAGAAAAGAGAAAUGAAUUUAAAUACUAUGCAUCAUAAUUUGCCGGGUUCUUUGGUAUGCCUUUUUGUUUGAUGGAAGGUUUCAAGUCGAUCAAUUGCAGUUGAGUCUGAUGCUUUGAAUGUUAUCAAAGCUAUCAAACAAUCUGGGCAUGAUCUCAGCCAAAUUGGAGCAGUUACACAUGAAAUAAAAGAGCUCAAAUCAGCUUUUGAUGUUAUUCACUAAAUGGAGAUUUCUCGAAGUUGUAACAGUGGCACACAGCCUAGCUAAGAAGGCUACCAAAGUUGAUCGAUGACAUGUUUGCAUGAUGUAGUGUUUGAUGACAUGUCUAUGUGACUUUAGGGGUGUGAUACUUUUUUCAUGAUGCCAGGUUAAGCUACGUAAUAUCCCCUUGUUUCAAUCAAAUUUCUUUUGAUAAAAAAAAAAUACAUGCAACAUAUUGUAUAAUAUUCUCGUAUAAUACAUGUUUCGUACUCUAGUCUGUUAUAGUUUGAAGCAGGAUGAAAGUUUGAUGAAGUUGGGGGUCAAUCAAUCACUAACUUAUAACUUAUUAUAGAACCAGGUAAACCAAAAAGAAUAGAGAUGGCAUCUAUUGUUUUAUACCCACACACCAGGAAUGCAGGAGAGCACCGGAAGUCCAGAAUCAGACUUUAUAUAAUGGAAAUAAGUUGGGAUUACUUUUCUGGUCAUGUAGUUAGGUUGUGAUCAACUUGACAAUGAUGCAUGCUUAGGGUCGUUUAUGUAAAAAUCUUCUUUUAUGGAGUUUUCAUCAUCUCUCGCGCCUAAAUGUUUGGACUUUUCAACAGACCCAGUUUAGCCUUUAGUCUUUUCCUUUUUGGGGUGACUACUGACUAGCCCAGUUGCUAAAGUUCUAUAAAUGUUUCACUUUACUUUUCAAUUUGUAUUCUAAUUUAAUCAGGGGAGCUGCACUUACAUGACAAUUUGGCAUAACGAAGAAGACAAUUAUGAACAAUGUGAUGGAGUAUAGCCCUUUUUGAUUUCUUACAGUUCACUGUACAAAUUGAGAGUGAGAAUAGCACAUCUAUACAGUUUGAAUGUGACUCCAGAAAUGACUAUAGAGAUCUUCGAUUUCCGCUAACCCCGGAUAACUGCUUCAGACUAGUAAGAGCAUCUUGCGCAUUUCGCUUUGUGUUGGCAUCGCCAUGCUUGAAGGCUUCCACCAAUGCCCACACCAGAGCCUGGUUGAGGGAAUGUCUAUGGUUUUCGACUCUCAGUAUCCUCUCAAUGAUCCAAACCGUUUUCUCUUGCAGCUCCCCAGGUCGAACUUCUGUGAAUAGAGUAAUCACGGCUUCAAUGACACCCAAUUGCUCAAGUUCGUCGACUGCUCUUUUGAAGUUGCUUGAACUGAAAGUGUCUAUUACUAGAGUUGAUAGUGCCUCCACUGCAGCAAUCUGAACACUAGUGUCGUUGUCGUUGAGUAGAUCAACAAGGGGCUUGAUGCAGUUGUUCUUUAGCAAACACAAUUGACUAUCUUCUUCGCAUGGAAUGUUGUGUAUCGGACACUUGGAAGUUUGUAUAGAAGACCUCCCGCACAUGAACGUCAAAUGAGAACAUAAUCCAUGGUGAGGUUGUGGUUCUGACUCCAUAGCAGCUACUGAUCUUGCAUAUCCAGACAAGUUUUUCAAGCCAAGGGUGGCUAGUUGUUUUACUCUUGGGUUUGAAGGAUAAUUAAGGUGACGAUGGAAAAUAGUAAUAAGGCUGUGCUCCUUUAGUGUACUUAGAGUUUGAGGAUUCAGGUUCUUUGUAAUCUCAAGUAAAAGGCCCAGAAGACCUUCCAACAUGCUUGAUGCAGGUCGAGAAAUCCUCCCAUUCGAAGUUUGGCACUGGUUGAUGAGAGUAGAAGCUAUCCAUCUAACAAAAUUAACUUCUAGGAGUGUCUUCACUUCAUCUUCUGAGAGGGAAAGGUUUGCAAGUAUGCAUGCAGCAUCAGCUCUCUCACUAUCUGCCGAUUGUUCGUCUAAUAGUUUGUCUUUGAACAAGGAAAGCUUGUGACAAGGCCUUAGCUCAUCAGCAAUAUCCUGACCAUACCUCUCUGAGAGUAAUCUUGUAAGCCUAAAAGCUUGAAUUCUGUUUUCCACUUCAGGGUGCUCAAGAAAUGGUAAAAUGAUUUUAAUCCCUUCCCCAGAUUUUAUAUGACAAGCGACCGAAUCUGUAAUUAGAAACAACAAAGCAUAGGUACCAUGUCAGAAAAUGGAUAUGAGAACUGCUUAGCACACAAAAAAAGAGAGCUAAAUUUCACGACCAUAAAAUGUAGCUAGAAAAACAAAAUCCCCUUCUCUGCAGCUAACUUUAGGUACAAUGGUAUUUUUCUUUAAUCUCCUAGCUAGGCAACUUAAUAUAUACAAUUAUAUAUACCAGCAGCAUAUUAUUUCAAGAUUUUCAGAGCAAGAGCAUCUAUAACAAAUUUAAAUAUAAUGAUUUCAGAAUAGCAUUUAAAAUCUUGAGGCUACAAUGUAGAUGAGAAGAGAAACACAGGUAACUACUGUCAUGAUGGUGUUAGAAAUUAGAUUCUUCACAUUAGCCAUUGCCCUGCUACUGUUGGAGCAUAAACAUAUAGGUAGCUUUUGAAAGUAUUCUCAAACAAACUCGAGUAUUCUGGUCUCCUAUGUGGGGACUGGGGAGAUAAUCUCCAGACACUUCUCCACAAAGAUGCUAAGCACAAAAGACUCUUCAGGAACAAGAUACAACCCUAAUCACAACAAUACGAUUCCAUUUGAAUGAUAGCAACUAUCUUUUGUUGGUUUUCAGAACAAACAAACCAAGGAACUAAAAUGCGCCAACUUACUAAUCGGUGAAUACAAAAUAAAUGCAGCCAAGUUUUAGGUAUAUGUGGUACUAAUCAUAAAUUCACACAUUAAGUUAUACAUAGAGAACAAACCCAUAGUUGAUAGUUCCAUGAAUAAUAAACGAAUAUCAGAUGGAGCCUGUGUGAAAACUAAAGGAAGAAUUACCUGAUGCCUGUGGAGACGAGGCAAUUCCAUAUAGGAUCUGGAGAAUGGAUAUCUGACAGGGAAGGGAUGCAAGAGAUAAAACCCCCAAUAGAUUAUAUAUAAAUGAUUCUGACUGCAUAGAGUUCCCUUCUUUGUCAGCUGAAGCCAAUUCCCAGUGUCCUGGAUUUGAUACUAUAUUUGCCAUGGUUGAUGCAGCCAACUCUUUCAGUUCCGACGAAGUAUCCUGGUUGAUGAAAAGGAUACCUGUCAAAGCAGGAAGUACAGCAGAAUCAACAAGGAUGGUUGCAUUGUCAUCUAGACUUGACAAGUUAUACAAGGCUUUCAAGCUCGCUGCCCUUCCUUCUGGAUUAGAAAGCAUCUCGACUAGUAUUUUAGCACUUUGCCUAGCUAUUUGUUCCUUGCUGCUAUUUGUCAACGUCAGAGUUCCCACCAUAGAUGCCAUCUCAAUUUUGACAUUUUCAGAACCUGCUUCCAGAAAUACACAUUCCAAUACAACAGGUGAAUACUAAAUACCACAAUGCUAUGAGCUACCUAAUGAGAAAGAAAAACAAGAAACAAAAACAGCGAAUCUCCCCAAGUCUACUGUUUUCCGAUCGUUGCAUUACUUUGUCCAAGAAGAUUGCAAAAUUGAUCUUUCUUAUACAAUCAAUUAUGAUUAACAAUUUUCAGCUGGUGCAAAAAUUAAUAGAAGGCAUACCUUCACAAAGUCGAGUAAGCAAGGGAUUGAAUCUCCCUGCUGCGGCCAAAUGCUGUACAUUACCCUCCACCUUCUCCAUCUGCUUUAAUACCUCCUCAGCUAGAUUGGAUAAACCAGGAUGCUCCAGGUUCCCUGCCAUGCUUGAGAGAAGAACCAAAGCUCCUUUCUCUGCUGCAAUUUUAAUGCAACAAGCUUCAUCACUCGAGAACUCAAGUAAUAAUUUCACAGCACACUCUCUCUCCUUCUCUGAGCUCCCGAUAAGACUAUGUAUGGCCAAUCUAGUGAUACCUUCUUGAAGCAUGAUCUCCUAGAAAUGUUCAAAAAGGUUCAAUCACAAACUUGUAACAAUAGCAGAACUCACCAAUACAUUAAAUAGACAAAGCUAUAGUUCACAAGAGAAGCAACCAAAGCAAACCUUGCUUUCUUCAUCUUUGGCCAUGCUAACCAAAGCCAUAAGAGCUUUGCUUCUCAAAUGAGUCCCAAUACUCUUCGCACUAUUCCUCAGCAAUUUAACAAUAAGCACAACAAUGCCGGCAUUCCUAACUCUAAAUCUACAACUGGGAUACUCUUCUGAGAUGUUAUAAACAUUGUCCAACACUACCUCUAUACCAUCCACCAAGGGAGGCUCUUCACUCAGCUUUUGAGCCCCAAUUUUGACCAGAAUAUCCACAUUCCUAUUCACCCACUCCUCAAUAGCUCCGGCUAGUCCAAUGUUCGGUUUCAUCUCCAGUGACUGGAGCACCUGACCGGUGACCGGACAAGUCGGUUCCCUGCCGUCGUCCAAACACCGCUCAAACCAGUACUUCACGGCGGACCGUUCGUACGUCUGCGACGACUGGAGCACCACCGGGUCUCUCAUCACCUCUUUAGUCAACGGACAGAGAAAAUUCUUGAACGGAGAGAUUUGCGCGUCGUCUUCGAACUCCAGGCCCGUGGUGAGAUUGGGCUGCGCGGCCCAAUUCUCCACAAUCCUCUCCAACGACACCAAAAUCCGGCGCUCCGACGCCGUAUUCGUUCCGGCGAUGUCGUUUCUGAGCUGCUUGAUUUGCUUGGAAAGCUCGGCGUGAUUCUCCGGUUCGAUUCCGAGAGCUCGGGAUAAAUCCAUGAUGAUCGCGCUCUCGACGGCUUUGCUGGUCUUCGUCCGCGUCGUUUCUCCUUCUCUCCGGAGCGUGUGGUGCACUCUCUCUUCGUUCGCUGUGACCUAAAAUUUCAAAAAAUUGAGUUCCAUUUUCAAAGAAGAUUGAGAGAAUAAAUUAUAUUACUUGUCUUACUUCAAAUUGAACUUGCUUCAUGUCUCUAGAAAGAUCGGCGAUUUUCUUGCGGAGAUCGGGGAGGUCAUCGACGGCGGAGUCGAGGAGGGCGAGCCAGCCGGAGACGGCCGCGGUUGUUUCGUUGAGGGAUUUACAGAGGGAGAGGCAGUGGAUGAGGACGAAGAUUUUGCCUUUAGAGUAAAACGACAUCGUUUUGAGGGCGGCUGGGAGCUCGGCGGCGAUUCCUUUGAGGGCGGUGAGGACGGAAGGCGGGAAGGAGUCGAGGGAUGAGGUGGAGCGGGCGAGGUGGGUGAGGGCGAGAUGGAGGCGGUGGGCGAAGGCGGAGAAGCGGCGGGGGAGGUCGAAGGGGGAGUUAGUGUAGUGAGGGGUGGAGAGGUCGGCGAGGGAGGUGUGGAUGGAGUCCAGCAGCAGCGCCGCCGAGGAGGAGGAUGAUGACGUCAUUCCGGUGAGUGUUCGGGCAUAUGGGGGUUUUGCCGUUUGGUUUUUUGCCGCGUUUUUCCAAUACUCUGGUUUUGUAGAAACUGGGAAAAUGGAGCGAAAGGUCAAAUCAUCGAGUGUUGACUUUUGAGCACAGUUUCAAGCGACGGCUUUAUGUGCAACGGUUUUUGACAUGUGUAAAUUUCGUUUCGGUCCGUGGUAUAUUGCUAACAAGGUGAAUAAGUAAUCAAAAGUGUUAUUAUUUUUUUUAAAUUUCACAUAAUAAAAUUAUUAUGAAAUAGAACGACAAGAGUUCAAACCUCAUUAUCAUAUAUAAAGUAUGCGUGUUAUUUAAUAAUUUUUUCCUAAAGAAAAGUAAGGAAUUUUUUUAUUAUCAAUGUGCUAUUGCAUAAGCCAAAUGCUAGCCGGUUUAAAACCUAUCUUUUGUCCUUCAAAUCUUACUAGAAAUUACUUCUGUGUUUUCAAUUAUUUGAGACAUGUAAGUUGUUACCCAUUUUUCAAAACUUGAAGAUAAAUGCCUUUUGCUUUGUAAUCUCUUGAACACUUAGGCAUUGAGCAAAGCAAUUUGAUGGGAAGUCUCGAGAAACACGAGUUUUUCUAAGUUCUGGAUCAAGCUUUGAGGACCGAGAGAUUAAACGAAGAAUAUUUCCUAUCUACUUUGGGCCAGAAACAAAAAUACAAAAAGAUUAGGUUAAGGCCCAUGGAAAGAACCCAAAUGGUUUUGAGGUCCAAACAAUUUCACCUCAUUAGUCAAGAAGAGACACUACAUCGUCUUCAACUACCUCUUUCUCUCACUCUUUCUCUCUGAAGCCAAAGCCAUGGAUCGCGCCCAGAUCAUUCUGCUAGGGUUACCACUCUUCCUCUUCUGCUUCGAUAUCCUUAACCUCUUCACUCUCCGACCACCACCGCCUCCGCCGCACAAGGCUCCCCAUCACCUCCAAAACAAACCUCCACCGUUGCCCAAAGACUCCCUAGCCUUCCCCUCACAGGUACUUCAAGCUCUUCCGCUUUUCUCGCCUUCAUAUGCUAAUUUGCGUCGUCUUUCUUUGACUUUGUUGACCAAUUUCAGAAACCAAGGGAUGGAGCAAUCGGCGUCGGCAACACAGUCAAGAUUAGCUUCUGCACCUCUUGCUCUUACAAGUAAUAAUAAUUCUCUACUUUCUUCUCCUUUUGGUCUUCAAUUUUCAGCUGCUCUGAAAAAUCUGUUUCCUUUGCUUAUUGCUGAUGUAUGUUUACAGUGCUAGAUGUGAUCAAAUUGAAAUCUUUGCUCUUUUCAGUUGAUUCGGCGGUUCGUAUUGUUCUUUUCCUGUAAUGGGUUUUUGAUUUUGUAUCGAAUCGUAUGUUUCUGUUAUUUUUGAAUUUUGUCCACUCAACUAUGCAUAGGGUCUCAAUUUUAUAUCAAAUCAUAUUUACCUUCUUGUAGAAAUUGGUAAGUUCAUAUCGGUAGCGUGUAGACGGUAGGUUUCGGUAGAACUGGAGAAGAUAGAUGACCAAAGUUCACUGUAUCUCUUAGAAGUUUUUUUAUUUUUAAAUUUAUCGAAUUUUUGUUUCUCCUGUACUGUUUUUUUGAUGUUAUAUUGAACUGAACAGCUAGGAACUUACUUGAAGUCUUGAAUGUGUUUCUAGACCAAGGUUUAUCUUUCUACCUAAAAUGGUCUUUACUCUAUCUAUAUAAGGGAUUUGGAAGAGAUAUGAGAUCUACGUGUUAGAUAGUUGUGGAAUUGAGCCUUCUUUACUAACAUAAAGAUAUGCUUCUGGUAGGGGGACUGCAGUAACAAUGACCAAGAUGAUAGAGUCUGCUUUUCCUGGGAUUGACAUUGUUCUUUCAAACUAUCCCCCAGCUUUACCAAAGCGUGUGCUUAGCAAACUAGUUCCUGUUGUUCAAUUUGGAAUGUUUGGGCUUGUCAUGGGGGGUGAGCAACUUUUCCCUAUGGUGGGGAUGGCACCUCCUCCUUGGCUUUAUUCUUUGCGUGCGAAUAGGUUUGGAACCAUGGCGUCGACUUGGCUUCUUGGUAAUGCGCUCCAGUCCUUCCUUCAAGGCACUGGCGCUUUUGAAGUCUCUCUCAACGAUGAAUUGGUGGGUGAACCUUCUUUCUACAUUUAGUCAUAUUGAUUUGAGCUAGAAUGUUGUUGCUAGUUGUUCCUUUUUAUUUAGGUUCUGUGUUCUUAUUGCAGAUUUUCUCCAAGCUCGAGGAAGGAAGAUUUCCAGGAGAGAUUGAACUAAGAGAUGCAAUUGGCAGGAAGUUGGUCAAUUCAGGAAUCACAGGUGAUGGGGCAUUAUGGACCUAGUCUGCUUAUAAAGUUCUGAUUGUACACCACUUUUAUAGUUGGUUCGUGUUGGGAGUGAACUAGUUAAUCAUCAAUAUUGUUUGAAGAAGUAGUAUCAGUAAAUGUUUUGCAGAUAGGUUGGACCUUUUGUGUACAAUAUCUGAUUCUCCAUUUCUGUGAGACAGGUCUUGGAUGUUGUUAGUAUACAUUAACAUCCCUCUAUAUAAUACCUGUUCUAAUCUAAAUUUGAACACAGUUGGCGUCGAGAGAAAUAUUUGAACACAGUUUUUUUAUGUCAAUAUAACACUGCAUUUCGGCCUUCGAUCCCUCUACUGGGAGGACCGGUUUAGGAGGUAUUUUCCGUGAUCAUAAUGGAUGUUGUCUUGGUGUUUUUACCAAAUUCAUUAUUGCUGCUAGUUCUCCUCAGCAUGGUGAAAUUCUUGCUUUACUUGAGGGUGUAGGCUGGGCAUGUGUGCACCAUUUUGUUCCCUUAAUUGUGGAAACGGACCGUCGGUUGCUAGUUGAGGUUCAAUGGAAAAUUCAGGUCUUGGUUUCCUUCUAUCUGACUUGAAAGAAAGCCUUAGUUUGGCUUCUAAUGCUAGAGUGAUUUUUACCAAGAGAGAAGCUGAUUGUGUUGCUCAUUCUCUAGCUCAAUUAGUUUUGUUUUCUUGUAUGAGCACAUGUUUCACCAUUGUUAUUCUUUCGCAUGUGGAGGACAUUAUAUCUUUUGAUCGUAAUGAACCUUGAUCCAUUCCCCUCAAAAAGAUAAAAUAUAACACUGCAUUUAUGCAGUGUGGUUCCUCAAAGUAGGCAAAACUUCCGCAGGAAAGGGAAAAUCGUCAAACCGUGCCUGAACGUUUUAUGUUUACCCGUUAAACUUGUCAAUGGUGUGUUCGUCCUUUCAGGAUCCAGCUCCUACGAAAUUCUCUGGCAACUUCGCUCUUUGUUGUCUCUUUUGGUUUCAUUCAGCCUCCCCAUUGAUAACUGUUGCUCUAGAUUAUUGGUGCAUUUGUUUCUUGAGUGUGACUAUUGGGAUUUCUAAAUUUGCUCAAUUAACCUCACUCUAUUAUGAAUUAUUAAAUGACAUAUUUAUCUUCUUACAUAAUGACUAUUAAGGACGUCAAUUAAACAACAAAUAAUAUUACAUUUAUUCUCUCUAAACUUUCUAAUUCAAUAAUAAUGGAUUGCAUUUUAUUAUUUUACUUAUUGAUAUUUUAUUUUCUAGUUUUACCACAUACUUAUUAAAGCAUUUAUAUAUUUAUACUAUCAUACAUGUCACAUGCAUAUACAAAGUGAAAAAAAUAUUUUUACAAAAAUUAUGAUAUAUAAAUUAUUAAAAAAUAAAUAAAUAAGUAUCAUAAUAUUUUUACAAAAAUUAUGAUCUAUCAAUUAUUAAAAUAAGUUAUCAUCAUGAGGUAUAAAAACAAAAAACUUACAAAAAACACAUAGAAUAUGUAAAAUAGAAAUACAAAAGUAAUAAAAAUAUAUAAUAGUUCAUGUAAGAACAUUCUUUUGAUGAUCUAUAAAUAAAAUUUGAGACAUAAUCCUUGUUUUAUUUUUAUUUUUAAGAGAAUAGUAUUUUUCAUGAUUCGAAUUAACUUUUCUCGAAAAUUGAUGUCAUUAAAAAUGAUUUCUUACAAUUUGAUCAAAAAAUGAAUGUCUAGCGAGUGAGAUUUUAUGCAAAAAAAAAAUACAUAAAAUAAAGAAAUCAAGGUCGAGAAUGGAGGUUUGCGUUAAAAAGAAAACAUAAAAAAUUAACGAAUGGAAGUCGGAAUGGAUGAGUGAAUAAGAGGUGUAAUGAGUAAUAUAUUAAUAUAUAUGUGAAUUACAUAAACAAGGUUAUUUUAGGAAUUUGAAAAGGAGGUCUAAUGAGCAAAUGCUUGUAUUUAAAAGUAAAAUAGAGGUGUAAAGAGAUUAAGAGUAUACUGAGUAAAUUUGGAGGUCCCAAUACCCGCACUCUUGUUUCUUCGGAUAAUCGGGUUAAUUUAUAAUAGAAUCUAUAAAGGAAAUAAUUAACAGUUACCAUUUACAAUAUAUAUAUAUAUAUAUAUAUAUAUAUAUAUAUAUACUACUUANNNNNNNNNNNNNNNNNNNNUAGCCCUAUUUGUAGUGUUUAAUUCAUAUAGGGGGUAGUGGACACAUAUUUAUACACCCGUCUGUACCACCUUGAUGGCGUAGUGUAGCACCGCAUUAAGGCGUGAUGUGAGCGUUGGACGCGAGCGUAGUAGCCUUAUAUAGACCCAUGAAUUUAUAUAGGGAGUAUAGACGAGUGUAAAUACAUACAUAUAUUAUAGAGUCUGAGAGGCUCGAUAUUUUAUGGGAUAAAGGUUUUAUCGCUUGCGGCAUGCUAUUCGAUUUUUCCUUAGAAAUUAAUUUGGGGAAACAUAAAUAUUUUUAUUUAUUAUUUUAUUUUUGUCCACUCACUCUAACGUUAUUAAAUGUUUUCCCCUGGGCCCUUCGUUUUAAAUUGCCCAGUCUGCAGAGUUCGGGUUGGAUCUAGUAGGAGACGAGGCAUAGUCACCCGCUUUUCGGCCAGUUUUCAUCAGUAGGUUACCUGUUCAACCUACUCGUGUUUUCUUGCUUCCGCUUGUGUUUAGUAGCUCUGAAUACUUUAGAAUUUUUGUAUAUUAUGUGAUGUUCAGAAGUGUAAUAUGAAAUUUUCGAGUUAGGGUUGUCCAUCUGCAAGGGAGAUUUUCUUAAUCUUUUCAGUAAAUUUUCCUUGGAGGUGGUCCCCGCACGACUUACUCUGGGUUUCAGGGUGAAAUUCGGGGUGGGUCGUGUCAAAAUAUGUUAACAGAAACAACGUACACUUGGUCAUGCAGUGGAUACGAAACCUAAUCGUAUACUAGGUAGUCGACUUCAUGAAUUGAUGCAUGGAUACACCAGCUGGGGCACUAAACUCAUUUUGAUAUAAUGACUUCUGUUAAUGUGACUUUGCAAGUAUGGUUUUGGCAAGGAAGUAUUUCCGUGCGCAUCUUGAUACGAAUUACCCAUGUGAUACUAUUAAUAGCGGAAUUAUUAAUAGCACUAAAACAUACAGGUAAUGUAGUUCGAAGAAAAUGUAUUCCUCUCUUAUUAUUGUGCAAAAGGGUACAAUGUUUAUUGUCUAAUGCCUUCUCUCACAAUUAGGGCUGCCACUCAGUCGGUUCGAAUCGGUAAUGGGCGUUACCAACUUCAAAACCAAACCUUUCGGUAAUGAAAUAUGACUUUCAAUUACCAAACCAAAAACUUCGGUAUGAGAUAAAUCUUACCAACUUCGGAUGUCGGUUUUUCGGUAUUACCAAACUUCACAACAAAUAUAUUUUCAAAAUAUAACAAAACAAUACAAAACUAUAAAAUUUAAAUAUCACUUGAGUUUCUAGAGUCUGAUAAUACAUAUACAAAAGAUAGUCAUUUCAGUACACAUUAUCGAGUAUGAUUUAAUUUUCUACCGAAAUAGUCAGGAUGUAAAUGUUUCCAAAUUUUUAUAUGAACAAGUUAUGUGUCAUCUAUGUGAAAGUAUGUGUGUGGAAGAGUCGACCAAAAUAAGUCACAUAAGGGCAGUAAAACUUUUCGUGUAAUAAGUGACGUUAAUUAUGGUUGACCGUUUUGAUCAAGACCCGAGCAUUAUUGAGUACAAUUGAAUUUUCUAUCAUAAUUGUAUUAUACUAUAAUGAUCACAUCAGACGGUCGAAUUUUAAUUUUGUGAAUUGUAAUAAUUGGAACCACAACAUGCCUGGUAAUGUGGUAUAACUUAUUUAGUAAGUUAUAUGCAUAUGUACAUCUUUGUGAACCAACUACAAAGAGGAAGCAAAAUUUUCAAAAAGCUUGUGAACUAUGAUGUGAUCAAUAUAGUGAAAUACGACUAUGGUAGAAAAAUUAGGUAUUUUUGAUAAUGUUUUGGCCUUGAUCAAGGCGGCUAACCCUAUUUACGUUUGUACUUCCUAUGGGGAGCUCUAUCAUCAAGAGAGGUAAAAACAUUCCUAAAUUUUUACAUGGGCGGUUACAUGUCAUCUAAGUGGGUUUGUCUAUGUGUGUGUGUGAUGAAUCGACUAAGACGGGUAGGUAAGAGCGUUUUUAUAUAACAAGUAACAUUGAAUUAAAGUUGAUCGCUUUAAUUGAGACCCGAACGGUACCAAGUAUAGUUGAAUUUUUCUAUUCAUUGUCUUUUUUUUUACUAAAUGGUAUAUACAAUUGAAAACGUGAGAUAAGAUUAUUAGUCUGUGUGUUUUUAGAAAUAUAAGUCUUUAAAUAAUUAGAAUUUCGGUAAAUUCAGUAUUUACCAAAAACCAAACCAACUUUUUCGGUACUUCUCGGUUUCGGUUUUUUUGAUUUCGAUUACCAAAAUUCGGUUUACUAAAUCAUAAAUUUUCGGUCGGUUUUCGAUCGGUUUGGUAUUUACCAAACCAAGUGGCAGCCCUACUCACAAUAACACUCUAGCUCUCUAAUUCGCUCCGCUCUCUAGCACUAAGCUAGACACCUCUAUUUAUAGAGUCUAAAUCUCUAUAAAUCCUUAUCUAACUUGGAGAAUACUCCCUAACUAAGUUAGACAACUAAUCCCAAACUAAGUUGGAAAACUAUUCUCCUAACAAGCUAGAAAAGCUAUAUCCUUAACUAACUUGGAGAAGGAAUCGACUAAUCCCUAAAAGGCUAGGAUACACCCGUAUCAUGGCUCCCCCUUUUAGGAACUUAAAACUCCCGUUUAAGUUAAAACUGGAGAUUAGGAAACUCAAGAGUUCCCUUCUCUUUGCUGAACCAUUUAGCUUUACUUGGAACCUGACCUGCACGCCCAAUGCGGAACAUUGUACGCUCCCCUCGACGUGUCGUAGCCACUUGCUGCUCUAAAAUGCAAUCUUCUAGCAACGGAUCCUCUUUAAGGCGCUCUUUACUCCGCCUUAACCAUAAUAAGUCAUUAAUACCAAAGUUACAAGGUAAGGUCUGGUCUUGUACUUUGCUUGUGACUUAUUCAAUUUUGUCUUCUCAACAUCUUGACUUGAUUGCCCUUCAUGUGGACGUGCCAACAAGACAAAUUUCCUAUAAGCACUUACUAAUCUUUUAGCCUGAGUUGCUGCUACCAAGCUUGCCUCUGGUGGGAGUGACGCCGCCCGAAUAACGAAUCGUUGUCCGUCUUUCGUAAAUGUGUACUUCUGAGCCUUCCUUUCGUAGAUAGCAUCUCUAUCCCAUAAGUAAGGAUUUCCCAGAAUCACCUGACAAACAUCCAAUGGCACCACAUCGCAUGUCACUUCGUCGAUGUAAGAUUCAUGAAGAGCAAACUUGAAUGUGCAUUGACUGGUAAUACUUAGUCAUGUGUCCUUCUGAAUCCAUCCUAAUGGAUAUGGCUUCGGAUGUUUGACCGUUUGAAGACCUAACUUUUGAACCAAAGCUUCCGAGAUAAGGUUCUUCUGACUUCCCGGAUCCACAAUGGCAUCAACUAAACUGGUCUUCACCUGCAGCUUNNNNNNNNNNNNNNNNNNNNUGUUUUAACGGCAAAUGCGUCUGCCUCUAGUUCUAGAUUCAACUCAAUAUGUACCGAGUCUGAUACGCUGCACUACAGAUAAAGGACUGAUAAAACCAAUCCAGAUUCAACUAAAUAAGUAUGAACCUGAAAUACUUGUUUACUAAUAAAUCAAUGCUGAAAUCAAUUAUGAGUUUUUUUCUUCUUUAUUUAUGCAUGUUCUACUAUGGAAGAUCAUAUGUCUGAAAAAAAUUAUAUUAUUGUGUUCGAUCAAAAUGUAAAAUAAAGAUGAAGAAAAGAGAGGAAAUAUGUCACAUCCCGACCCUUAUAUUUUUACCUUAUUUACUAGCGUGAUUAUAAUAAGAAUUUUACCGUCUCGAUCAUUGAGUAAAUAGUUUAAUUGGUCCCUAGAGGGGUUUCGGGGACGAUUAUGUGCGGAGGAUUAUUCGUAUGAGGAAAAUACGACGACGGUAAAAAUGGUAAAUUUUAGCUAGUAAAAGGUAAUUUUUAUUCGGGUAUUAUUUUUCGGGGUGUUUUUAUUUUGGAAAGUUUGGGUUAAAAGGGAGUGUUGGGUCGGCUGGGCCGAGCCCAACCCAUUUCUUCUUCUUUUCUUUCUCUCUCCCUCCCGAUUUCCUCUCCGCACCCGAGCCUCCCGCUGCCCGGUUUUCCGGCUGCCCUCCCGCCGCCGUCCGACCUCCGUUCGCCGCCGGACCGGUCACGUUCGGUCGGUCUCCCUCCCAGCAACAUUUCUAGACCGGUGAGAGGAGCCCUAGCGCCGCCGUGAGAGAGCGGUGCCGCCCGAAAGCAAGGGCUGCCCCGAGCUUCCCUUCGCCGGAACUUCCUCCUCCGGCCACCAAUCCGGGCAAGCUUAGUAUGGUUUUUGUAGCCCUCCAACCCAGCAACCUUGCCCUAAAGGACUCACUCCCUCUUGAGCUAGGUAAGGAGAAAUUUGAGGUGGAAGUUUAUGGUGUUUUGAUGUUUUAGUCGUAUUGCCCUAGUUAGGCUUGGAAUUGGUGUUUGUGNNNNNNNNNNNNNNNNNNNNUUCGCAUUUGGUUCUGUCAUUCCUGGUACUUCUUUUGCCUCGUUUGUGAUUAAUGUGGUCUUCUUCCUCUCCUCCUUGUGCCGUAACACUCUUGGUUUAAGGUGAGGAAACUUCACCCAACACUUAUCUGCCACAUGGCCUGUUCCUUCGCAAUAACUGCAAACCAAACAUGCUUUCCCAUCAGACACACCAUUCUUAUGCUCUUCCGUUUUGGCAUAGGAAUCAUUCGACUUGCCCACAGUCUGUUUUCCAUCUCCCUUGGUUUCGUUCCUCUUGAACUUCUUCUCAAUGGCGAUGGCUUUUUCGUUAGCUUCUACAACGGAUUGUACCGUGAACAAACUCAACUCCCUUUGGAGGUACUCAUGUAGUCCUGCUUUGUACUUCGUAAAUAUCGAAUACUCCGUCAAGGAUAUAUCUAGAACCAUAGCUUGAUUCUGAAAUUCGGUAGUGUACUCUUGUACGGACUGAUUGACUUUCUGGCGCAAGUUAUGCCACUUGUUCCAUCGUUCCUCCAGAAACCCUACUGGAUAAAACUUCUUUCUAAGCAAUUCUUUGAACCGCUUCCACGACACUACCCUCUCAACACUAUUCUUCCGGUAAGACUUCCACCAAGUUAAAGCGUGAGAUGAUAGCUUCAGAGUCGCACAGGUGAUCUUCUCUUCCGAUGUAAAACAAUGGAAAGUAAAAUAUGUGUCAAGCCGCUCAAUCCAGUCGUCCAACUUGUCAACACUGAUGCUACCGUCAUACAUCGGGACUUCAAUCUUGAAGUCAAUCUUCAAGUUCCGAAAAGAACUUUUUCCUUCUUGUUGCAAGGUUUUGUUGGCGUUGUCUGACUCCCCAUCCGAUUCGGAUUCUGAUCCAUCUUCCGAUGCAGAGGGCGCAUCUUUCGGCUUCUCCAAAGGUUCCUCCUUCAUCAGCAGUUGUUUAAGGAGGCUGGCCACUUCCGAAAACUCAGACUUCAUUGAUGCUACCUGCUUCUCCAACGCAUCAAGUCUAUCUUUUUCUGGAUUUUCAUCACCCAUCUUCUUUCCUCUUGAUCUUGUGGUAUUUUCCAAAGACACAAGAGCUUUUCCCAGCUUUCUGUAAAGUGAACGAGUCAGGACCAUGCACCACAGGACUCCUCACGGAUACGGUUAGCUCUAAUUACCAACUUGAUACGAAUUACCCAUGUGAUACUACUGAUAGCGGAAUUAUUAAUAUCACUAAAACACACAGGUAAUGUAGUUCAAAGAAAAUGUAUUCCUCUCUUAUUAUUGUGCAAAAGGGUACAAUGUUUAUUGUCUAAUGCCUUCUCUCACAAUAACACUCUAGCUCUCUAAUUCGCUCCGCUCUCUAGCACUAAGCUAGACACCUCUAUUUAUAGAGUCUAAAUCUCUAUAAAUCCUUAUCUAACUUAGAGAAUACUCCCUAACUAAGUUAGACAACUAAUCCCAAACUAAGUUGGAAAACUAUUCUCCUAACAAGCUAGAAAAGCUAUUUCCUUAACUAACUUGGAGAAGGAAUCGGCUAAUCCCUAAAAGGCUAGGAUACACCCGUAUCACAUCUCGAUCUCCUGGAAAUGCAUAUUCUUUGCUGUAGGACUUUUCUUCAUGGAGGUAUAAGAUGGAUACCUGGUUUUGGUUCACAAAUUAAUCUCUCGCUUUACAACUUGGUUUAUGUUUUAGGAUAUUCCAUAUGUGUGCCUUGUUUUAUGCCAUCAGGAUAUGUAGUUAGAAUAGGACUAUGUAUUCCUUAUCAUUACCAUAUUUGUACUUUGUAAUUCCGUAUAUAAAGGGCUUCUAUCAAUGAAUAAGAUGAUGAUUCUCUAUUAUCUUACUAGAUCUCUUUGUCUCUACUGUUUAUACUUCUUUACGUUAUCAUGCAUUUUUUCUAACCCUAGAGUUAAUAGCCCACCAUUUGUUUUUCCGAAACCCUAAAAAAGGUUUUUCGGCUCCUAUGUCCGACCACUGCCGCCGCCUAUUUUUCCGGCCACCGUUCGACAUCACCGACUGCCAAUCCUUUGGCCGCCGCCCGCCAACGAUUCUUAGUUUCCUCCGACUACAAUUUUCGACUUCUUCAAGUGUUCGAAGUUUCGAAAGGUAUGUUUUGAAACCCUAAACUUUUCCAAGUUCAAUAACUCGAGGAGGAUAAAGUCCUUUCCUCUUCAUCUCCAUUCUAUGUUUGGGAUUUUGUGCGUGCAGGUAAAAAUCCCGAAAUUUUAUUCGCGGGUCAAGAGUGUGUAUGAUCACUCUUGUUUCUUUGUCCAGGUUGUGUGUGAUUAACCCCGACUUUUCUCUGGAUUAUGUUUAAUCAAUCCGAGGCCUUUUCCGAAUUGUGUUUGAUCAAUUCGCGGCUUUUCCAGAUUGUGUGUGAUCAAUCCGAAUGACAAACCAUUAAAAGCAUCAUUUGUGACCUCUAUCGAGUCUCAUAACAGCUUGAUUUUGUAUGCAAGAGCAACAGAACAUUCUGCUCACUUGAGUUUUGACGUACUCGAUGCCUAAGGCAAAUCUUCGCUAUCUUCGUUAGGUAUCUGUGGAACAUUUCCUCGGAAAGGAUUAAACCACAUGUUUUGACCCCUAGGCUAACCCGCCUAGAUGCAGAGAUUGCACAUCUCUCGCGCUCAAAGUUUUGAGGCGCCACAUCGACAUGCAACAACCUUUAACGGUAAUCUGUGCAAAAAGUAAUGACCACAAAUUAUUAUGGAAUGCACUUAUGGAGCGUUUCUUGAAACGUCCAUCUAACUCAACUUGUUAAGUUAUUAAGUCAAGUGGAUUGUUUACCACCUAAAUUGACUACAUAUCAUCGAUGAUAUUCCGUGGCAUCCUGAUCUAUAAUCUUUAGCGGAUUCAAUCAUCAUCAAGUUCUUUAGGUUCUCCAAGUUGGUUUGGAAUUACCAACAAAACUUGAUUUUGAUCAUACAAUUGCAAACAGGAAUUGUAUAUACGCUAAUGCGAUAAACGGAUAUUUGGGAUUGUCCCUUAAUAUGGGGAUAACAAUAUGAGUCACGGUAACGGCAGAAAACGUCGUGUCGAUAUCUAGAAAAGAGGGGGAGGUACCGCCGACCCUAAUGGCGACACUCCCGGUCUAGACACCAAUUUGUCAAAACUACUCAUGCCAGCUUAUGACAAUGCAACCGUUGUGGAUCUUCGGAUCACUGGUUCAAGAGUUGUCGAGCUAUCUUUCAAAUUGUGAAUGCAUACAAAAUGGUAUGGAAAAUCAAUAUGAGGACAAGAACGUCAUCCCCAUGAUUGUGGAUUUCAAAGAUUCGGAUCUAGCUUUAGCUACCCCUGACUUUAACGUCAUUGGCUAGAUCGACUUUGAUUUUCUAUCCAAGCUAUAUGUAAUAAGACGUCGUAUCGAUGUCCUUUGUUUAUUCGAGACCUCGAUAUACACUCACAUUAGCAAUAAUGAAUGCCUUGAGAUUUUUUUCGAAGUUAUGAAACUAUUCUCCUCUUAUGGUUUGUACUGAUAUACAUUCUUACAUUGUCCUUAGAAACAUGACAUAUUGUGCCAAUUUUGGUCCCUUCCUUUGAAGGUGACUCACGGCACCGCAUCCUCAAGGAGAAUCGCCCACGUGUUUUCCGGUUAAAUCUUCUACCCUAUAGCGGAUUUUCCAUCAUCAGCUGUUCAACUAGGCUCAUCCAAGCUCAGUGUGAUGUCUUAGAAUUGCCCAAAUUAAGGAGAUAGUGGUUUAAGUGUGUCUCGUGCUACCGACCCUCCACGGACAUGCUUGGUCAUACUGACUUGGAGUUACCGAAAGCUUUUGAUUUUGGAUCCCCCCUACGCUAUUAAACCAAUUUCCAUCUUGCAAAAGAUGUUGAAGACUUAUCAAAACCGGACAAUCAUCAUCAUGAUCGAAUCCCUCUAGGUCCUCUGAGUUAGUUUAUGUUCAUGUCAGGGAGCUUUUGCUAACUAGUCAUGGAGUUUACGACAUUGGAACGACCGAAAUGACUUGGUUUUGAUCAUACACACUUCAAUUUUGGCUAAGGAAAAAGCCUACACGCCACCUGCAACCAUCACAGCUUCGCAUAUGCCAAUUCUACGAAAAGCAGCAAUUUGUCCCUUCUAGACAGUCAAUUUUGUUUGAGCUUUGUGAACAGGUCCGAACGAACCAGACAGUGAGCUUUAUAUCAUUGGAAAGAUCUACAAGUCUAGUUUUUAGAACUUUUCACGGUUCGUCUAUAUCUAUUUUAAUGAAGAAGUUAUGGCUGUUUUAGUGCGCAAAGGCCAUUCUGCACGGAAUUUUUUAUGCACUCGGGAUUGCAGCUUUUUGUAUCUUCUUUCAAUCCUUCUAAAUAGUUCAAGUGGAAUUAUUUACUCUCAUAUCUACUCCAUUUUGUAGACCUGUCUCAUAGAGACAUUGAGUGCUUUGCAGAUAGUGGAACUACCCACAACAUUCUAAGGAACCAGCAACUAUCCUUGAAUUUUUUGCCUUUGUAAAUCUUUUGUGACUACAAUACUUGAAUCAUACCGGUCAUUCAGGGACGCGGUAUAGCUUGAAUCUUGAUGCCUCAUGGCACCAUGAUCAACGUCACAAAUGCUCUAUAUGCAUUGAGAAUUGAGAGGCAACCGAACCAUGUUGAGCUUUAAAGACAUUCCUGCUAAUAGUUUUCAUUUGAAAACACAUUGUGAGAAUGAACAAGAGUUCUUUUGUGUAUACCUUCUCAUGAAUGUGGACUGAAAUGCAUCUUAGAGAAGUUUAUGAGUCAAUCUAGUGAACUGUAUGUCACUAUGAUUCGAAUAUCGAAUCACAUAUUGUCGCCAAACAUGAUAUUUGGGACACCGACUCAUAUAAGCUUUGGUUUGACCAAAUCGGUCAUUCUGGAAGAGACAUAAUGGUCUAAAUUUUAAGAAAUUCUCAUGGACAUCCAUUCUUCCGCUCAAAACGAAGACAUUCGGGAUCUAGCUUCUCCAUGAAGUAUGAUGGUGACGUCAUGGUUGUAAAUGGCGGCACCCUGGAGACAUUGACGUCACCCAAACACAACUCCAACUUCCCAGAGGCCGUCCAGUCAAUUCCAUAAGCAAUUGAGGUGCACCGGCUUUCCCUCGAUGUCUCAUUGGUCCCCUGUAAUGCUCAUUGCUCGUUUGAAAGCCUAUUCUUUAGCUAAAUUAAGAGUGACACCCUCCUGCGCUAAAUGACACGAAAGUGAACAUUCUAUUCUUACAUCAAACUAUGUAGACAGAUACAACCAACUUGCGGACACCUUUUUAUGUUUUAUGAUGUUGGUUAAAGUGUUAACACACCAGUCAAGUGUUACACUAUUAUCUACUGCUUAUACUUUUACCGGCUCACUACCCAUUCUUUAAAGAAGUUUAUCGGGAUAUAAGUUGAAGUGUCUUAUACCCCAUUUUCACACACAAUACGGUCUCACCGAGGCUACCACCAAACAACUUUAGCUUGUCGCUCGAAUAUUAUUGAUACACACCAAUCUUUCUAUUGCGUUUUGGGGCUAUGCAAUAUUUGCAUGCAGCUUUACUAUUCAUCUACGACCCACCAUCAUUGAAUAUUUUUGUACUACAGCUUGUGACUGUGUACGAGGAUUGACACGAAAUUGCAAUCCUUGAGCUCAAAUAGGAUUGAAACGGAUCUCCAAUCUUUGAGCUCGGCUAGAUGUUAUUUCUAGGUGCCAAAUCGCAAUGCCACUGCGCACAAUGAUAGGUCAUUUGAAAUGAAUAAGUAUUUAGGUUGGAUAUGAACCUCCACCUAUAAUCCGCUUAUGUAAAAAACCUUGUCAAGCGAUCUCAUUCAUAGCUAAAUUGUGUAUUGUCACUUUGAUGAGACAAUAUUUCCUCCGUUAGAAGGAGAUAAGAACACAAGUGUUCAAGUGGAAAGACGUGAAUUAUCGUGGUUUGUCCUCACUAAGUCUCAUCUUGAUCCUAAAUGCUUAAAAUGUUAAAGUGACAAGAUCACAUGCUGCAAAUAUGUCUGCAAAGAUUAAUGUCCUAUCAAGAGGACAUGACGCGACCAACAGGUGUUGGUCUUGACGCCAUCACCAUGGAUGGUGAUAUGGUGAUGCCAUAUAGUGGCAAAAUUGGUGUCACAAGGCCGUAUGGCUCCCCAAAAGGAGGGAGGCCCUUAGGUACGAUACUUUCUCGCACUAAGAAGAAAACGAGCUUGGCACAACCUGAUUCAUUGAUUAGUGAUACUCAAAUCCGUCUCAUGAAGUCUGAAUUGUGAUUAUCGUUAGGGGACGCCUUAAUGUCAAAAUCUAAUCCAUAUAGAGAUCUCUACAAGUAUUACACUAGUGUAUAUGAGGACGUGGGAUAAUAUUUCUACUAUUGAACCACCCUUCGUUGAUGGAUAUUAACUUAGUUGAUUGGCUUAAUGAAAAGAUGCGAUCCAACAUUAACAAAGAGAUAGGUCUUUGGGCAGGUGAUGUCGACACCGCAAGCUAAACUCUAUCAACUAUGCCUUUAUUAGAUAGUAUAGUGAGAACAAGAGGUUAGACUCACCUUAUGGCGCAAGGUCUCUCACUAACACGCACUGGGGUCGACUACGAUGAGAUAUGCUCUCGUAAUUGAUGUCAUUGCACUGAUCCACUACUUUGUCAGUUUGGUAGUUUCCGAAUAACUGAACAUGCAGCCUAUGAAUGUGGUCAUAAUAACAUCUCUAUGGGAUCAUAGAUAUACAUGAAGGUCUUAAACGGACUUCAUUCAUCUGAAUCAAGUGGCUCCAGACCACAGUAGCACGCGUUUGCUAUAUGUAUUGAAACACACAUGGACUCUACUUGAUUUGGAAGGGAUAUGGUAAAUUAUGUUUUUGCGUGUUCAUUCCGUUUACAUGGACUCUUGAUUGAACAAGAGAUUCCAACAUGUAUCAAACAUCCGAAGUUAGAAUGAAAAAGAUCUUGGGAAGACAUGGUCUCGAAAAGGCACUCGAUGACUGUAUUGAUGAUGAUUUUCCAUCAAUCGGCUUAGGCACUCUAACGAAAGUGAGGCAUACAUAUACCCCAUGAUUAGUCAAAGUCUUUACUCUAAAGAGAGAUCCGUUGUUUUGUCUAAAGCAAGAUGAAAAAUAUGUGUUGAGAGACGGACCAUCUAAGUAAAAUAAGACGCAUCAAUGCAUUCAACACAAUACGAAAGACUUGACAUCUCAUUCGCUAUGAAAAGUUUAAAGCUAAGUAUAGCUAUGCGCCCACGCAACGCCAAUGUAAUGGCAGUAACUCAUUUUUCAAUAUUUAAUGGUAUGAAAGGUUGAGCCUUAUUCUAUCCCUACAUAAGAAAGACACAUCAAUAGCGAAAUCAAAAUCUGUCAAGUUUCAUAGGUCAAAUUCCACGGGACCUACAAGAAAUCUCACUCACUGGAAAAUGGUGAAAUUUGUACCAUUGGAAAGGUCUAUGUGUCUACUUUCCAGGGACACCAACCAUUUUAUCAUAUCUAUCAUAUUGAGUGAGUUAUGGCCGUUUUCGUAAAGUAGGAUGAAUCUGUCCGAGAACCUGAUUUUGACAAAACAAUCAACUUCGAUGAUACUUUGUAAACAGCUCCUGAUGAACCAGAAUGUGUGCAAUAUACGGUUGGAAAGCUAAAUGAGUCUAGUUUCCAUAACCGUUUAUGGUUCAUCAUAUGUGUUUCCUAGAGAAAGUUACGACUAUUCUAGUAAUUGAAGGUCACGCUACACGGAAAUUUGAUUUCUUGCACGAACUUAUGUUUUGAGUUCACAAGCGGCCUUCUCCUCAAGAUCUAUGUGUAAAAGAUCAUGUUUGAGGACAAUACGGCAUAAUCUAGUUAAUCAUUGCCCGAUGCCACAAUUGAAGACAUGUUAAAGAGCAUUGACAUGCUAAGUUAUUGAAAUUUCCGUGAUUAGUAAAAAUCGGGAAGAGUCAUAUGGUUGAUGUAAAGAUCAAGGGGAGUCUAGCACAUACAUACAUGUCACUAUCAAAUGUGAAAGGUGCGUUGUACUCUUUUUCUCUUACGAUCAAGGUUUAGUUUUUCUCCCACAAGGUUUUUGGUCCUUGACGAGGUUUUUAACAAGGCGACAUAUUAGGACCACUGGCAUACCAUCGCGCGGCAUAAGGGGGAGUGUUCUAGGAUAUUCCAUAUGUGUGUCUUGCUUUAUGCCAUCAAAAUAUGUAGUUAGAAUAAGACUAUGUAUUCCUUAUCAUUACCAUAUUUGUAUUUUGUAAUUCCUUAUAUAAAUAGUUCAUAUCAAUGAAUAAGAUGAUGAUUCUCUGUUCUCUUACUAGAUCUCUUUGUCUCUAUUGUUUAUACUUCUUCAGUUUAUUUUUUAUUUUUUUAAUAAAUUUAGUUCUUGACUGCUCGGUACCUACAUGUUUAUGAUACCUACAUUUGCCGAUAUGACAACAAAUUUGUUGUCUUUUUGGUAAAGAAAGUCAUUACAUGGGUAACUUUUGUUCUAUUAGAGGUAAUUACUAAACUCAAGACUAAAUACAAGUUUAUGAACAACUUGUUGUCGUUGUAAUAACUUAGUUCAAUUAUAUGUAAAUGUGUAAAAUAAAUGUAGUAAGUUUGUUGUCAAUGUUGUAAAUUUUACAUAUUUAACUUGUUAUUUUUGUUUAAUUAUUGGUAAAUGAGUGUAUGGUAUACAUCUCCGUACUAUAGACAACCCCGUUCAAUUUAGAUGAAAUUGUGGGCAUCUUACAUUCUACUCUUCUUUACGAUCAGCGUCGGCAACAGAGUCAAGAUUAGCUUCUGCACCUCUUGCUCUUAUAAGUAAUAAUAAUUCUCUAAUUUCUUUCCUUUGUUUAUUCUUGAUGUAUGUUUACAGAUGUGAUCAAAUUGAAAUCUUUGCUCUUUCGAAAGAUUUAUUGAAAUCUUGAUAAAAUGGGAGAUCGAAAGAUUUAUUUGAAUGUGUUUCUAGACUGAGGUUUAUUUUCUUACUCUACCAAUAAGCAAUUAAAAGAUAUGAGAUUUAUGUAAAGAUUGUUGUGGGAAUUGAGCCUUCUUUACUAAUAUAAAGAUUUUGUAACCACAUACUGCAAGAUAGUCUAGUGAUUCUUGCUUUGUUGGGUGUACUCCCUAACCUAGGUUCAAACCACGACACUUUCAAAAGUGGCCAGGGGAGGGGCUGCAAUGCUCUGAUGUCAUUCCAGACCCCCAACGGAUUAGUCCUAGGGCCUACGAAGUCUUUAGGAUACCACAUUCUUGAAUAAAAAAACCUUAAAGAUUUUGUGUUUGGUAGGGGACUACAGUAACAAUGACCAAGAUGAUAAAAUCUGCUUUUCUUGGGAUUGAAGUUGUUCUUAGCAAACUAGUUCAUGUUGUUCAAUUUGGACUUUGAUUAGGGCUAUGCAUGGGAUGGGAUGGGACAUGAUAGAGCUAAUCCCAUGGUCCGUUCCAGACAUUGAAAUCGGGACGGGACGGGCUUUGCGUUUUUUAGAUUUCAUCCCACCCGGGCCCUAUUCCAGUCGGGACGGGCCCAGUCCCAGAUAAAAAAAAGUUGAAAAUAAACUUGUAAGCAAAAUAAAGAGUUACAUAUUUUUAUAGUGCUCUAUACUCUAUUAAGUAUUAACAAGUAUUUUUAACAUAUUUACAAGUACAACACGGUGUAAUAAGAGAGUUUAUACUGCUUACUUUCUCUAAACAUGUCAUCACCACUAGGGUGCAAGAAGAGCGUCUACAACAAUCAACAAAUUAAAGUAUUAAACAUCACUGUUAUUGAAUUAGGGAUAGCCUAGUAACUUAAAGAAACAAAAAGGUAAGAUCAAAACACUUAAAUGAAAGGUUCAAAUCAUAUCUUAAUCAUUAAAAUAAUCGGGAUGAGACGGGCCUAAAUGAGCUUGAAUUAUUCGUCCCGUGUCUCAUCCCGUUGUAUAGAAACGGGACAGGCCUUACGUUUUGAGAUUUAAAUCCCGUCCCGUCUUGACAAAUUUCGGGACGGGCCCGGGAUGGAUUCGGGAUUACGAGAUUUUAUGCCCACCCUUAAUUUGGAGUGUUUGCGCUUGUCAUGGGGUGUGUAAAACAUCCUCCACAAUGCAAAAAAUGGGAAGAGAGAGAGAGAUACUGUAUAUCUAUAUAAUUCUCAAAAUUUGUAUAUUGAAAUCUCUAAAAUUUAUUGUUUGCCUUAUAGAAUUCAUUCUUUCUCUCUCUCUAAUAAAAAAAAAAACCUUAUAAAAUUAAACAUUUAACAUGAGAUUUGGAAUUUGAUUUGAAUAAAUAUGUAAUAUUUGUAUUCUCUUAGCAAGCCCAACCUUGUGUGUGUGCUAAGGCCCAUUGAACAAUGGGUGUCUAAAGUACCUUGGGUGUGGGCCUUUUUAUGGACCGAGAGGACCAUGCAAACGGGCUCCGGCUUACUAGGAUUCGCGUUUGGGAUCCAGGAGAAUUCGAUAGUAUAAUUGAAUCGUCUGGAGUAAUAAUGAAGGAUGAUUCAAUUCUAGCUUGGUGUGCUCUGCCCUAAUACUCCACAAAUGGCAAAACCAAAAUUCAGUAAGUGUUAGUGCGAUGAUUGCUUGGCAGACUGUGCGAGCUAACUGUAGCUAGAUGGAUUUAUGUGGCUUGGAGUACCACAAUUGAGCACCUUGGCUCUGGUCUUAUGUCUCCCUGGUAUCUUGGUGUAACUAGUUUUAAUCCUUUGCUAAGCUCACGAAUAAGUGAGCUAAAUUCCUAAUGUAAUGACAUUAUUAUGAUCCAUGUGGUUAUUGUACUCUCGUCAUUCUGGCUUUCGUUUCUAUAAAUAGCAAAUCACGUAUACAUCCUCCAAAAGGAUUUGAAACACAAAUAAAUCCACUUAUGUUGUUGUUAAAUAAAUAAGGACAGUUUUUAACAAUUAAGGACAAUAUUUUCUCUACAUGUCAUGUGUCAUAGUUUAAUUUACCAAACUAACCCCACUCUAAUUAAAUAUGCUUUUAAAAGAGAAAAAUCUCUGCUUUUGAGAUUUUUCAGUAAAUGGAAUAUAUUAGCAGAUUUUCAAUAACUUAGUGUAAUAGCAGUUAAUUCCAGUAGAAGUAGUAGCAAGGGUUAACAUCCUAAUAUAAGUAGUAGCAGGGGUUAACAUCCCAGUAGUAAUAGCAAUUAAUUCUAGUAGAAGUAGUAGCAGAAGUUAACAUUCCAAUAGAAGUAGUAGCAAGGGUUAACAUCCUAGUAGUAUUAGUAGUUAAUUCCAGUAGAAGUAGUAACACGGGUUAACAUUCCAGUAGAAAGUACUACCAGGGGUUAACAUCCCACUAGAAGUAGCAGCAGGUUUUUAGUGGCUCAGCUAAUGUAGUAGCAUGUUUUGUUGGAAAACUACACUUCCAACAUAUGUAGUAGUAGGGUUUUAGUGGUUCAGUAAGUGCGGCAGCAACUUCAGUAAGUGCGGUAGCAGGUUUUCAGUGGCUCAGCUAAUGUGGUAAUAUGUUUUGCUGGAAAGCUACACUUCCAACAGAUGUAGUAGCAAGGUUUUAGUGGUUCAGCUAGUGUGGUAGCAGUUUCAGUAAGUGCAGUAGCAGGUUUUCAGUGGCUCAGCUAAUGUAGUAGCAUGUUUGCUAGAAAGCUACACUGCCAAUAGAUGUAGUAGCAAGGUUUUAGUGGUUCAGCUAGUGUAGUAGCAGCUUCAGUAAGUGCAGUAGCAGUUUUUCAAUGGCUCACGUAGUAGCAGAACACAUUAACAACACACACAGUAGCAAGACACAUCAACAACAACAUGUAGUGGCAGCACACAACAACAGCACACGCAGUAGCAGCACACAACAACAUACAACAACAACACACGCAAUAGCAGCACACAACAACACACAUCAAUGAAGACUAGACAAUAAAGGUUAACUCUGCUACUGCCUUAUCCUCCACUUCUGCUACUGCAUUAUCCUCCACUUCUGUUAUUGCCUUCUCUUGCUUCGGACUAAAAGGCUCUGCUACUGCUCCUGACCCAACGGCUCUGCUACUGUCUACUGGCAGGCUCUGCUACUGUUGCCGAUUAUUAGGAAGCUGCUACUGUUACUGCUGAUGCUACUACUUACUAAAACAUACCGCUACUGUUAACCAUAGAGGUGCUACUGCCGACUGAGAUCCAAAUCUACUUGCCUCCCUUACCUUUCUUAGUCUACUUCAACAGUGGAUUAACACCACCAAAGCACCUCCAGUAGCAAUAACUUCAUUCCUCCACACAUUAAUUAACCAUACAACCAUAGCACCCAAAUGAAUUCAAUUAUAAUUUCCAUCAACAAUUAUAAAACCAAACUAAAAAUGAACAUCCACAUGUAGAUCUAUCCCUGCAAUCAUCGACAUCCACAACCUCCAGAACAUCGUAGUAACUAAGAUCUACAAGCACGCCUAUGUCACCCAAUGCUCAAUCGAGCAUGGAUAACUCAAAGCAUUUGAGGGCGACAAUUCAUGGCCUUUGAAGUGGUUGAUCUCCUUGAGAAAAUGCGAUCCGCCACACCAGAUCGGUGAAGCAUCAACGACAUCGUUGAUGAGUUGCAGAAGCUCUGAUUUGCGGUGGUCGUCGCCGGCGGCAACUCCGUCGAAGGCAUAUGGAAGAAGAGAGUGGAGAAGAGGCAAGCCAUUGAUUCUGAUUCCGAGUUUUCGAAUCAAAACCAUAGCUUAGAAUCAGAGAGAGAGAGAGAGAGAGAGAGAGAGAGAGAGAGAGAGAGAGAGAGAGAGAGAGAGAGAGAGAGAGAGAGAGAGAGAGAGAGAGAGAGAGAGAGAGAGAGAGAGNNNNNNNNNNNNNNNNNNNNGAGAGAGAGAGAGUGAAUCAUAUCGGGAGGAAGAGAGAAGGAAGGGUGUGGCAUAUCAUGUAAUUUUGUUGAAAAACUAAACAUUUUGGUAAUUUUCCACUUGAAAUCCAAGUCAUCUCUCUUCCUAUCUGUUAUUGGGCUUUGAGCUUAUGUCCUUAUUUGUUUAAAUCUUUUAAAAUGUGGGUUUUCUGUUUUUUGCAACUGUUUGGAGUAGUGAGAUGUCAUUUUCUAUUCUAUAAAUGAUAUAUUAAUAUUACUUUCUUUCAAAAAAAUAUAUAUAUAGAAAAGCAUUUAAUUUUGCAUAAUAGAAUAGAAGAGCCGUUGAAGUUGAACUCUUUUUAUUUUUGUAGAGUUUUUGUGAUUUCCGCCUCUAUAACAAAGAAUUAAAACAAGAGUUGUUGAAGAUGCUUUCUAUAUAAAGGAAAUUGGUUUACAAAACAGAGAUAACUCGUUUAGAAUAGAAUCUCUAAAUUAAUGGAGAAUAUUUGACGAAGUAAUAUCGAAACAUAUCUCUGAUUUAAUCGACACCAAGCCCACAAUCCAUAUAAAUAUAAACCAAAUUCCAAAGGUAAUUCACAUAUGCACAACUGAAAACAAAUAUUCUCAAAGAUCAGAUUAGCAAGGAGAUAUAGAAAUGGAGAAGGCUAUUAGCUGGAUGCUGAUUCUCUUAGUCAUUGCAUCCUGUGAGUAUCAUUAUCUACCGCAAUGUUUAAUAUCAAAGAUCAUAAAACACCAACUGUACGUGUGAAUUGGAAACUAAACUCUAUAUUUAAACAUGCAGGUUUAUCCCAAUUCUCAGAAGCAAAAUCUGUGGAGACUUGCCACAAAAACACAGACUGCAAAAGAACUUCAUGCGCCGGAAGCUUUGUUUUGUGUGUCAAUGGCAUAUGCACUUGUGAAGUAUCCGGCACUAGCCGAGACGAGUCUGCACCGGUAACUGACAUCCCUGUGGUGUCGCCACCGUGUUCCAGCUCUAGUGACUGCCGCUUCGUCCUUUGCCAAACUGGACCGUCUGUUUGUAUUGACGGCAUAUGCAGUUGCAAAGCAUCCGACACUAGCCGGGACGAGUCUUCACCGGUAAUUGACGCUGGUGUGGUCAAGCCAUCGUGUUACAGCUCAUAUGAGUGCGAACAGAGGAUCCGUUGCGAAGUUGGAAUGGUUGCUACUUGUUAUAAUGGCAAAUGCGUCUGCUUUCAUGAUUAAAGGACUGAUGAAACCAAUUCCUGAUUCAACUAAACAAGUAUAAAUCUGAAAUACUUUUUUACUAAUAAAUCAAUGAUGAAAUCAAUCAUGAGUUGUUUGUUCUUUAUUUUGCAUGUUCUAGACUACUAUGGAAGAUCCUAUAUCUGAAAGAAAAAAGUUGAUGUCACGUAUAUCAGUAUAUGAUCAUGGAGUUCGAUCAAAUGAGGAAAAAAAAAAUAAAUAAAGUUGUGAACAGAAGAAACAACACUAACAUUUCAAUGCAGUCAUGCAGUGGAUCCGAAAACUAACAAAUCGCCUGCCUACAGCAAUUCUCUACACUAGAAUAGCAUAAGCUGGAAUGUGCUCGUUUUCCGGCACUUUCAAGAACACAACUUCAAUCAAGUGAAAACAUGACAUGUAGGGAAGGGAUGUGCAUCACCCACCAGGCCACCAAUAACUACUUUGUCGUCAGAGAAUCUCUAUGUUGAGAUCACAAUGAUACAUUACUUCUAGAUCAUACUUAACAGAGUGGUACUGAGAUAAGAACAAGAGCAAACAAAGGGAAUCCUGAACAAUAUCUUAUUGGAUAGUAGAAAAUAAGAUGCAAGGGAAACAAAGAUUUAGACAGGGAGGGGUAAGAAGAUAAAACUUGUAAUGAAAGAAUACAAUCUCAAGAACUACUAUGGGAUUUUAAAGGCAAGAAACUGCCACAACCCACAAGGACAACUUCAUUGGAUUACCAAGUUACCGUCGACAAGAAUCUUCAGGAAGUUGCAGAUUAUUGCCCAACGCCAAUACACUGUAAAAAGUACCCAACAUCGCAUAAGAACCUGCCAUCAUUAGGAUCUAUGUUCGUAAUCCCAGAGACGAGACAAUCUGCAGGAUGAGAGAAAUCAUCAAGUGCGUAUAAACAUAUGUAGAAAUAAAAUGAGAGAUCAUACAACCACACCAAUGAAGUGCUUAAAAUACCCUUUUGGCUACCAGUAAAAAGACUAAAGACUCACAGAAAUUACAAGUACGGGAUUAUUGCUUGAACCUUGAACCUUAAACUUUGAGCAUUGAACUAAAAACUAAAAAGAUGAUUUUACACACUAGGAGCUAAGCACAAAUUACAGACACGCAAAAAAUAAAACCAGAGAAAUACCCGAGUGCUUCUAACCUCUGUCAAGUGCGCGUCUCGUGGUGUAGCACCGCAGAAGAUCGUCAAACGAUGUUUGUGAAACAGAGAUCAUUUCUAAAUCACUAGACUAUCUUCCAAACAUUUUUGGUAACUAUGAAAUCGUAUCUACUUAUGAAGAACUGUUGGCAGCAAAAGUUGUUGGAUGACAGUUUACAUUCAGGGAAGUUAGAGGCUAGAUAACAACAUGGUUCUAUGGUGUAGUGGUUAGCACUCUGGACUUUGAAUCCAGCGACCUGGGUUCGACUCCCGGUAGGACCUUUUUUUCUCUUUUUGGUCAGACCUUUCAUUUUUGUAUAAAAUAAAUAAAAAAGUUGUACAAGAUUCGGCAACAUUUAAGAGUAUGACAUGAUACAGUUCAAGGAUUAUGGAAGACUAUUGGUACCCAAAAUUUGAAUGUCUAAAGGCCAAAGAAAACAACAUUGGUACACAGACAACAUCGGUGAAUCUUUUAAACAAGUCGAAGAGCCAAUACAAGGUUCAAUUUCAAAAGUUGCAAGGCUUAGAAGAAUCAGACAGAGUUUCAACCUUUGACUUGCAAACUUGGAAGAAGCAUGCGAAAGGUGUAAUACUAAAGACAUUACUUAGCUUUGCUGCAAGUGCAUGAUUGGAUAGCUAUGUUCCAAACAGUUGUGGUUAGUCUGAGACAGUGACAGUUCUCUAGUUAUCAGACAAAGAAACCAUUGAGCUAAACUGUGUGAUGUUAGACACCAACAUGGUGUGUAAUGGUAAGGAAUCUGGACUUUGAAUCUAGGGACCUGGGUUCAACUCUCAGUAGGACCUUUCAUUCCUAUAGUUUCUUUUUCAAAAAUUUUGUGUAGAAGGAUACAACUUGCAAGAAUACUCGACAAGGUUAUAUGGUGUCUCAUAGCAUAAAGCUUUAUUGACAAACCUCCAUCAUGGUACCACAAAUGAAGUUUUUCGCACGGCAACAUCUCCGCCAAACACCAAUCUGAAUGAAGUCACUAAUUUCACCGGCGAAAUCAGACUGCAAUUCACCAAUACUCUUCCUCUGAAACACCCAAGAUAACACCAAAAUACAUGAGACAAAUACACUAAGAAUGGACCUGUGGUUCUUCACAUAUUCAUUAUUGGCCAGUAGAAACUAACAAACUCGUUUUGCCUACCGGUGGUCCCAUGACAUCACUCCAUCUAAAGCAGACCAGAUACUCCGGCACUAUAACAGUUGAUGCACUAUCAAAUCAAUAAACUUUUCACUCUAAAUAUCAGGCUAUAAUCAAACCCAAAAUGAUAUUUUGUUUGCCUCAGAAGACAAGAAUAUAAAUCAAUUAACAUAUUACACUAAUGGUAAGUCUAAUAUAUAUUUGCCAUUGUAAGAAAUUGUUCACACCUACAUUUAAUGAACCAACAACAUUAAUACAUAACAAACUAUUUUAAGAGGCUACACAACAGCAUAGUCAUAUGAUAGUAUUGUGUAGUGGGCACUCCGAAACCGGCAAUCAGAGGGACCACCUCAGAGCCCCAAGGUAUUCUCUUUAUCAAAAUUUGCAGAGUCCAGCAGGGUGAUGAUUCACAAGGACAUUAAAAAUAUGAAACAGAGAACAAGAUUUAGAAACAAAUUUUGUAUGCUUAACCAUAAGAAAACAAAAAUUGUUCACAGGAAACUUGUUGACACAAAUCUGAGGUAUGUAUUACUCUGUUCAAGUAGUAUACUACAGUACAAAGUAAAACACUCGAUAAACAAAUCUUGGGUAAAAGCGACACAAACAUAAUGCUGAUAAUAGAAGGUUCAGCACCAUUAUUUAACUUCAAAUGUGGAAUUAGCGUCAAAAGCACAGUUAUGAUUAAUACCCAGUGGUCUAUUAGUGUAUUCAAGACUUAGUUCAUAGGGGCCAGUUUAAAAGUUUCAGACCAUUGCAAUGGUCUUCUAAUCUUCCACUACAAAAUGUAAGGUUUUCCAUGGCCAGUACCUAUUCUAUACAGUGACCUUUAUAGGAGGCUAGACAGACAAACAAUGUUUAAGGCUGCAGUGGUGUUCUGAACUUUGAAUCGAGUAACCUGGGUUUGACUCCCAGUAGGAGUUCCUUGUUUUAUUUCUUUUUUAAGAGGACACGGGCGUGCAAGAUUUUUUUUAGCCAUGGUUGUAUCUCACAGCAUGAGCUUUAGUGGACAACCCUUCAUCAAGGUAACAUGGAUAUACUCUUCAUAUGGGUACAUGAGGAACCUCUUAAGCAACACUUGGGCUAUACCUCAACUCAACUCCAUUGGGAUUGCUUCUACACCAACACAGGAUAGGGGUCUCAUACAAAACAAGACCCAAACACGAUAUAAAAGUGAUUAUCACCACAAUAAUUGUACCCAUUGCACCAUUGCUAGUACUUUAGAUGGGUCCUUCAAUUGGAUAUAUCUUUAACUAAAGACACAUCUUUAAACAUCUGAAGCAGACCUGAACUGCAUGAUCACAUGCACACACAAUCAAAUCAACAAGCAUCUUACCAAGCCAUCUCUUAGCUUUGUCAACUGUUUUUAGCAUAAGGCCAGAAGCUAUCAUCGCACAAUGGUAAUACCUCAUUUGUUUGGGAAGCAAAGAGCAUGCUCAGUUACCAUAUUAUCUUCCAAAAAAGAUUAAUUCUUAUAUAGUUACCAUAUACUAUAGACAGAUGAAGGUAUUGCACUGACUGCAUCUAUAUAUAAUAACUUCCUGUACGAGGCUACAUAUCUCUUAGCUUUGUACCAAUGUGACAUAAACACCAAAAAUAAAAUUAUAAAACCUGAAACUCAUCCAAAAUAAUCCGAAUACUCUAACUUCAAAAGUGGAACUAGCAUUCAAGAAUCAGAAAGUACAAACACUGUUCAAUGCAUGGUUUCUACAGGGUAGCUGAAGUUUCAAACCAACUACUUUUAGGCCUGAAAUGGUGACCUAAAUACUAAAUGGUACACAGCUAGGCAAACAUAAGGUAGAAGUUUCAGUGUCAUCAUUAAAAUUCAAAUGUGGAUUUACCCUUCAGACUGAAACACUAUUAGCAACAUUAUUUAGUUUGCCAUUAGUCUCUAUUGCUAGCUACUAAGUUUGCAUAAAUUUGAAAUAGUAAGUUCAGAUUCCCAAUAUAAUAAAAAGUUGACAGCUAAAGUUUGUGCAUGGAUUACCAUCUGUGCGCAAUGGUUUCUCAUUCCAUAAAAGAAUAGACAAAAGGGUUCUAUGGUGUAGUGGUUAGCACUCUGGACUCUGAAUCCAGUAACCUGGGUUCAACUCCCAGUAGGACCUUCCAUUAUUCUUAAAAUCUUUUUUUUGUCUCUUAAAAGAGAUGGGACUUUCAAGGACACUCAACUGAUGGAACAGUGUCCAAUCAUGUGGUAUUGUCUAACAGUAAAAAGACAGAAGUAGUGACAGAAACCUGAAAUACUUUUCACUUCAUUCUCAUGUGACAUAAUACAAUGGAACAAGAAAAACACUGGUACAGAGCAACAUGAACAAUUGAACCUGAUAGAAGUCUCGAACUCAUCCAACUUCACAAUGCAUCUAAAGAAAAAAAUUUGGAAUAACAUAUCAAGAUUUCCAACACAAUAAAAUGUUGAUAGCUAAAGUUUCUGCAUGGAUUGCAUUUCUCCAUUGUUUCUGUAAAAGACUAGACCACAAAAUGGUCCUAUGGUGUAGUGGUUAGCACUCUGGACUCUGAAUCCAGUGACCUGGGUUCGACUCCCAGUAGGACCUUCCGGUUAUUAUUUUUCUUCUCUGUUUUGGUCUGUUUCUCAAAGGGAUAGGACUUGCAAGGAAAAUCAACCAAUAAAGCAUGGUCCCAUCAUUUGGUAAAAAAAAAUUUCAAUUUUUAACAGUAAACUCACAGAAAUGAUAUAUUGUUGACAAUGUUUCACUUCAUUCUAGUCAUUAUACAUUUAUACUAAUGUGACCUAUAAACCAAGGAGACAAUAACAACAUUGGUAAAAAGCAACAAGAACAUGGUAGAAAGUGCUAUUUCAUCAGUCAACUUCAAAAUGUGCAAUAGAAAAAAUUUCAAAAUAAGGAAUAACUAAAGUUUCAAACACUCUAGGCAAGUUUUCACUCUACAAUUUUAUAUUAAUGACAUUGUGUCAUAGACUAAAAACAAACAAGGUUCUAUGGUGUAGUGGUUAGCACUCUGGACUCUGAAUCCAGCAACCUGGGUUCAACUCCCGGUAGGACCUCUAAUUCAUUUUUCUUUUCUAAAGAAAGCAAACAUUUUUAUAAAGCUGAUCAUGCAAAAAUACUCGACAUUCUAUCAUAGCAUAAUCUUCAAUAGACGAACCUCAAUUAGGAACCAUUCUCUAAUGAAGCUACUAACCACCAAACUCAACUAAACUGUCUCCUACAAUGACAGAUUGUGGGGGUAUCUUUUUUUCCAAUACAGAACAUCUCAAAUAGGAAUUCUAUACCAGAAGCCUCUAAAAUCUUACUUGGUCACUACUUACUAGUUACUACCCAUAGUUUAUCCAAUCAAAUGGACCAUGCUGACAUUGAAAUUAUGGGCUUUAACAACCGUAACUGUAAAUAUCUUCAAGAGUUAAUAUGCUUUCCCAGUCUUGAACAAUCUAAUAUACUUGCAGAAGUUAUUCUUCAAGACAUUCCUAACCCGGUCCAUAGCCGGAAGAAAUGGUUUCCAAGAGUUCCCAAGAGAACCUACUGUAACCAGUAAUAAAAAACACAUCCUGUCUGGGAAGGGAUACAUAGACACUCAUCGCCUCAUCCACUACUCAGAGAAAUUGAGUCAAAAAGUCCACAAGGUGUAUCUAUUUAUAAGCACUACCUAACAGUGCACCGAAUUUGAUAGACCACAACAACUGUCCAUAAGGGAACAAUGAGCCAUUAUUGAGAGCUAUCUUCUUAAUCCACUGACUAUAAGUACUCAUCUUUGGUAAAAGUAUUUCACAGAUCCACAAAACAGGGUAACCUAACAUUUCUUUUAUAGUCCAACACCAUCAAUACCAUUUACCUCAAGUACCUCAGCCUUUUGGUUUCAUUUUUCUAAACUAAUAACAACAGACGCAUUUACGAAUCUGAAAACAGACCGGGCGUGACAUCACAUAGCACACCCACAAACCAAUAACAACCGACCAUCAUACCGAGCCAUCUCUUAGCCAUGUCAACUGUUAUGCAGCUUAGCGCCACUGGAGUUCAUCACAUGAUUGUAAUUCGUGUUUGUUUGCAAAGAAAGCAGCAUACUCAGUUACCAAGUCUUCCAAAUACUUGGGCUGUUUUCCCACUACUGUAAACUGAAGACAGAUGAAGGUCUUUGCAUGGACUGCAUUAAUAUCUAAUAUCUUGGUGAGGCUGCACAACAACAAGGUUCUAUGGUGUAGUGGUUAGCACUCUGGACUUUGAAUCCAGCGACCUGGGUUCAACUCCAAGUAGGACCUUAUUUUUUCUUUUUCAGAACUAACUUAUUCGAGUAACAAUUGUACCAAUGAGAUAUAUAUGAAAUAUCAAACAUCGAAUUGUAAACCUGGUACAAAGCAAUGCAAUAAUUCAAAGGUGGAAUUUCAGAAUCUAGGCAUUCAAGAAUUAGAAAGUAUUAACAUUGGUUGAUCAUAUUUUCUACAGGAUAGCUAAAGUUUCAAAUGACUUUUGUUAGGCCUAAAAUGGUGAUCGAAACACUGAUUGGUACAAGGCCUAUAUAAUCUUGGUGAUGCUACACAACAACAAGGUUCUAUGGUGUAGUGGUUAGCACUCUGGACUUUGAAUCCAGCGACCUGGGUUCAACUCCCGGUAGGACCUUUUUUUCUUUCCUUUUUCAGAACCAACAUAUUCAAGUAACAAUCGUACCAAUGACAUAACUAUGAAAUAUCAAACAUCAAACUGUAAACCUGGUACAAAGCAAAGCAAUAAAUUGAAGGUUGAAUUUCAGAGUCUAUCAACCUAACUCUAAAACUAGCAUUCAAGAAUUAGAAAGUAUUAACAUUGGUUGAUUAUAGUUUCUACAGGACAGCUAAAGUUUCAUAAAAAAAUUUGUCAGGCCUAAAUGGUGAUCAUUUUACUUCAAAUGUGGACCCUCAAACUUGAAUUUAGCUUGCCCAUUCUAUGGGUAGAAAAGUUUGCUAAGAUUGAAAUGUUAAAUCCAAAUUCCAAAUACAACAAAAUAUCGACAGCUGAAGUCUACAAAAUGUUGACAGCUAAGGUUUUGCAUGGAUUACCAUUUAUGCACAUUGGUUUUCUACAGAAUAAUAGACAACAAACUGGUUCUAUGGUGUAGCGGUUAGCACUCUGGACUCUGAAUCCAGUAACCUGGGUUCAACUCCCAGUAGGACCUGCGAUUCUUAAGUUUCUUAAUUUUGUCUCUUUCUAAAAACUUUUGAAAACAGAUGGAAAUUGCAAGGAUGGACCCAUAAACAUAUGUGGUAAACAAAUUUUGAAUAUCUAUCUUCCAAGUACGGUAAAUUUGAAGUUGUAAACUAUUUUUGCACUACAUAAACAGUUGGCAGAUGAAAGUAUUGACACAUCUAAUGAUUUCCGUAAGAGACUACACAACAACAUGGUUCUAUGGUGUAGUGGUUAGCACUCUGGACUUUGAAUCCAGCGACCUGGGUUCAACUCCCGGUAGGACCUCUCUUUCCUUUUAUUUUUAAUAUUUUUGUGCAAGACCAGUCACUAUGCAACAUAUACGCAAAAUUUGAAUUCCUAGAAGAUAUGGAAAGGAGAGAUAAUACGGCAGCAGCAUCUACCAAAAUAUCUCCGAUACAUUCGAGUAAUGAAUCUACUAAUGUGACAAAAAAAUGAAAGACAAAACCAUAACACCUGAGGGAAAAUAACUUGAAGGUUGAAUAUCAUUAAAAUUUCUUCAAAUGUGGGACUAGCAUUCAAAAAUUCAAAGUACUAAAUGUACUAUUAGUACAUUGGAAUGCAUAAUUUCUACAGGAUGGCUACAGUUUCAGUCACGCCUGAAAUAUUAGUGAAGAUACUAUUUCAACAUUUGGAUGAAGCAAGCCAAACACAAUUAGAAGUUGUAAUGUCAUCAUUGCAUGUCAGAAUAGUUAUUCAAAACUUAGAAACUAUUGCAAUCUUAUUUACAUUCCAAUGCAUAGUAUGCACACACAGGACAAAGGUUUCAAACAAGUUUGCUGAGUUAGAAACUAUAAAUCCUCAUUCUUAGUCAACAAUGGGUUGACAUGUAAAGGUCGCGCAUGGACUGCAUAUAUCUAAUGGUUUUCUGUGAAAAACUAGACAACAACACGGUUCUAUGGUGUAGUGGUGAGCACUCUGGACUUUGAAUCCAGCAACCUGGGUUCGACUCCCGGUAGGACCUACGAUUCAUAAGUUUUUUAUUUCUUCCUCUCAAAACUUAUAUAAUACUUGCAAGGAAUUUUAACUCAUGAAAGCAGUUCCUCAUCAUUCGGUACACAAAUAUCUUCAUUUCCAAUAGUAAGGACGCACACAUAGCUCACGUGAUUACUUGAUAUGACACAAAAAUCAAGGAUAAGGUUCAUUUUCAUCAUUAAACUUUAAAAUGUGAAUUGGUUUGCUCAUAGUGCAUUUAAAGCAUUGUUGUACGGCUAGAGACUUUCUAUAUAAGGCUAGACUCAAAGUGGUUAGCACUCUGGACUUCUCAUUCCCUCUUUUCUUUUUUGUUUUUGCUAAAAAGAUUUCUAGAAGUCUGAGGGAUGCAAAAAUUAGAGUAAGUUUAACAUUGUUGUAUCACAUAGAGUAUGCUAUAAUCGACACACCUUCAUCUUUUCUAAGGAUUUCUUUUAGUUCAAUAGAUUUUCUAUCUAUCUACAUAUACAUAUAUAUACAGUCGGGAUUAGAGGCAGACAUCCGCACACCCUUAAAGUGCGGACGUGCCUCCGUUGUCCACCGUACAGCUCCGACGACGCAGUCGUCGACGCCUCCACCCCAGCGGCCUCCAGCAGCGUCCCCGAUCACUCUUCCUCCCCGAUGAGUCCGCCGAAUCCGGCGAGAUCGAUUUUGUUUGAAGUUUUGGGUGAUCUCGCCAGAAAACUGGAAUUCGGCGGACUCGCCGGGGAGGGAAAGUGAUCGGGGACGCUGCUGGAGGCCGCUGGGGUGGAGGCACGCCGUCGUCGGAGCCGUACGGAGAACGGAGGGACGACCGCAUUUUAAGGGCUGUGCGGAUGUCCUCUUUAGAUCCUCUCCGCAUAUAUAUAUAUAUAUAGAUAUUAUCAGGUCCAAAUAUCCUUAUUAUAUAUAUAUAUAUUUAUAUAUAUUGUGGUUUUAUCAUUGGGAAGAGUUGUAUUAACUUAAAAUAGAUAUCCCUGAGUGACUGCAACAACACAGUGUAGGAGUCUGCAAGGUUAUUACUGCUGAAUUCCUGAGGGACUAGAACAAUGGAGUGUAGGAGUCUGCUUUUCUCUUCACAUAAAACACGUGCCUAAUAUUACUCUAUAGCCUGUGAACUUUCCCACGGUCCAUGCAAAAGUUGUCUGGUUGCUUAUUUGACUACUAUUUAGUUAGUACCAUGUUUUAAUCUAGCAGUCGAUGAAUGAACAAUGCUGACAUCUAGUUUACAAUACAUAAAUUAAAAGAUUUUCGAAGGAUAAAACAUGCAGAACUAAUACUUCAAGAAUUUCCUAACCUUUGAAGAAAAAACUCCAAUCGCCAACAGAAAACACAUCCUUGCAUGCCAGGGGCACAUAGCCACUCAUCAACUUGAAUCCUGAACCAGAGAAAUUGGGUUAUAAGGAUCAUCCUAACAGGUAUGUCAUCAUUACUCAACAACAUGCAUAGUGAGAAUAGGAAGAUAUAGAACCGGAAUCAUGAGCCAAAGCACACUCAGACUCUUAUUACGACAGUUGCAGCAAACAUAAAAGAUAAAAAUGAUUUUAUGGGGGAGAGAGAAAUAAAGAUUCACCACAAGUUUCAUAAAAAUUACAGAAAUCGACUUAUCAUAGGAAAUCGACACAUGGGUUUUGCACUUGAAUACUUCUUUUCUCAACAAACAUCUAAAGACAAAUCAUUUACAUAUGUAAAGUAGGCUAAACCAAAUAUUCCAGGACAAAACACAAUCAAAUCAUUUACUACCAUAAGCUCCAUACCAGGCCAUAUCUUAAAGUUCAAAACAGUAUGAGUCAGCUUGCUGUUAAUGCAGUUCAAUGCCUCUUUCCGUGAGACAGCUAAGAUUUAAACAGCUUUGCUGAGUAUGAAAUGGUAGACCUAAAUUCUCAUAAACUGUUGACAGCUAAAAUACUGCAAUUAUAUCUGGCAGUGUUUUGUAGAAGGCUACACAAAAACAUGGUUCUAUGGUGUAGUGGUUAUCACUCUGGACUUUGAAUCCAGCAACCUAGGUCCUACUCCCUGUAGGAACUUUCCUUGUUUCAUUUUAUUUCAAAAAAAAUAAAAAAAAUAAAAAAUAAAAAAUUGAAAGGGCCCUUGGACUAGAAAUUUAAAUGAUUGAAGAUAUCUCAUGGCAUAAGCUCUAACGGACAAACCUCUAUCAAGAUAAUGUAAUCUUUGACGAAUAUCUCUCUCAAUAAGCUCACUAAGUUCUCUGUCAGACCCGUUGCUGGGUGGUAUCAAGUCCUUUCUCUACCAUUCAAACCCUGCCCAAAACCAAAAUGGUGAAGUCAAGAAUACACAGUGGGCACCCAAGUCAUAUGACUGAAGUAGUAUAAAGCUAACUCCAACAGCUUACCUGAAGCAGCUACAAACUGUUCUCCUGAGCAUGGUGGACUGAAGAAGAAAAGUUGUUAUGCUCUUCUAGCCCAUAUAUUCCGAAAGCGGUGGGCUGAGCUCCCAACAAGUAGGAACUCAAACUUCCAUACUUAAAGAGCCAUAAGCUCCAUCAGCUACACUCUCGGAUGAAACAAAACAUUGUCCUAAACAAAUGAAAUUUCUUGCAUCUGAGGAAUAGUAAAAUUCAGAUCUUCAUAUAAUUUGACCACCAAGAAUAGGCUAAUCUUACGAGAUAUCAAUUCCAUACCACUUGUUUACUAACAUUAAUCAACUUCCAUAUAAAAGUCAAAUUCAAUUCCAAUUUAUUUUUCAUUACAAGGAAGAAAAAACUUUGCAGCACUGGCUCAUUGGAAGAAUUCGUAAACAUUUGACCCUAUAAACAAAUGCAGGUUUAAUUGCAUUCAAAAGGCCAGCAGUCGAGCAAAUGCUACCUAUAUACCAAAAAAAAAACCCAAAAAAAGAAAAAAAAAAAAAAAA
rnacentral:lncRNA from 1 species